GGUGAAGAAGCGCCGAGGCUGGGAGUAGGGGCCUCAGUUGAUGGAGACGGUGGGCUGGAGGCCGAAGGUGAUAGCGCUGGAGACUUAGCUUUGGUCUUGCUAGGGGCCGGAGCUGGAACCGUGGCAGGAGGAGAAGCCAAAGGAGCUGGUGGUGGGGUAGCUGGAGGAGGAGUAGCAGGAGGGGGAGAAGCAGGUGGUGGGGUAGCCUGAGGUGGAGAAGCCGGUGGGGGAGUUGCGGGAGGUGGGGUAGCUGGGGGAGGAGUAGCCGGUGGAGGAGAAGCUGGUGGUGGGGAGCUAACGGGCGGGGGAGUCGCUGGAGGAGGAGUGGAAACUGGUGGUGGAGAAGCUGUCACUGGAGGUGGUGAUGAUGUAGGAGGAGGAGUGGAAGCUGGUGGCGGAGAAGUAGUUGUGGGUGUUGGAGGUGGUUGGGUAGUAGGCGGAGGUGUGGAAGCGGGUGGGGUCGGCGGCACCGGCGUGGAUGUCGGAGGAUUACUAGGAGUAGGAGGAGCUUGGCCUAAAGCGCCAGCUACAGCAAUGCAAAACAAAGCUGAUAAGAACAAAAACUUGUUAUUAAGCAUCAUGUUGGAAACAAUGGUGACCCUUUAAUCCUGCACACCCUCUCCGCUUAAACUACGCCCAGCCGCGCAAGCAAAAGAGGGAGAAGAAUAGCAAGUAUGAGAAAUGAAAAGAUGGUGAUAUUUAUAUAGAGGAUAUGGAAAUUUCUAUAUCAUAUUUCAAUUUUAAAUCCCAAAAACAAAUAAUUUAAUAACAUUUUUAUUUUAUUACUAAUGGGAAAAUUAUAUUACUAAUCCUAUGCAAUUUUCUAUUUUAAUUUAGUGUAAUUUAACUCUUUCGUUGUGUUAUUAAUAGGUUCAAAAUUGAUAUUCGAUCGUACAAGCAGAGAUGUAGAAAUGAAUCAAUUUUGUUAAAUAAGCAAUAAAUCUCAAUCUUAGUCAAAUGCUUAAAGCUGUUAUAAAAAAAAAUCACGUCACCAUUUUAACAUUAAUAAGUAUCAAAUUAUAUAGAAGUAAAGGAUUAAAUCUCUAAUUUCAAUUUAGUAAAGGGACUAAACUGGAAUUAAAGGGUUAGAGUUUUUUCCUCGUUUGGUGAGGUAAAAUAAAAACCCUAGUGGGGCAUCACUUUGAUGAUUAUAAAUGAUGCGUUAGUUAGUCAUACUUUAGGUAAAAAACUGUAGGUGAGAUUAGUGUAGAUUGAAAUAUUUUAGUGAAAGGUUAAUUUAUACCUUAAAAAUUUUGCAAUAUUUGGUAGUUCCAUGAAAUGAUUCCCACUAUCAUCAACUUUUCAAUCAUUCAAAUAGGUUUUAAUUUGUUUUGUUGUGAAAUUUUUAAGGAGUCAGGUCCGGUUGUUAUAAAAUUUUAGGUUUGAAUUUGACUUGAAAAAUAGGUUUAAAAUUUUACUUAAACCCAGUCUAGAUAAAAAUAUUAAACUCAAGUCUGGACGUAUUAAACUUUUUAUAUUAUUAUUUAUAUAAAAACAAAUUUAAAAAAUAUAAUACAUCAAAUACACUAAAAAUAUUAAAAUAGAUGUUUCCCAACAAAUUGAAAAUACAUUAAAAAAGUUUUUAUACUUAGCAAGCAAAUGCCUCUAAAAUAGUAGCAAAAUUAACAAUAAAAGAGUUAUAUAAUAUCCAAACAAUAACAGCAAAAUAGUAGUAAUAUAAUAGCAAAAUGGCAACAAAAUAACAGUAGAAAAAAAAAUUUAGGCAAAUUCGGGCUGAGCUGUGUCAAGCCCAGGUAAAAAAAGAUCUUACCCGAGGUCGGCCCUUUUAGAAAAUGAGCCUUAUUUUAUUGUCGAAACUCAUUUUCUAGACCUAUAUUUUUCCCAAAUCCUCCCACUUAUGGGGCGAUAUUUAGGGCUUGGGCAGGUGGCUCGGCGCAUGAUUAGGUCUAACGAUGGAUUCUUUUGUUAGUAAUGUUUAUUUUGGUGUUUGAGUUUUUUGUGUCUUAAUUUGGUACCUAAUUUUGGCUUUAAUUUUUUUUCCAAUUAAGCACUUAAGUUUGGCUUCAAUGUUCAAAUUGGUACCUAAUUUUUUUUUGUCCAAAUUAAUUACCUAUAUUUUGUUUACCAAAGCACGUGUGUCAAACAUUCAUUGGGUCAUAUGAUGACAUUUGGCUUAGGUAUCAAAUGAAUAUCAAAUCCGAACUUGAGUACCAAAUUGAAACAAAAAACACAAAUACCAACUAAGUAUUGAAGCUAAUCUCAAAUAUGGAAUGGUAUGUUAGCCCAUUUGUAAACAAAAUUUCAAGGAAGACUUAAAAUUUAGCAUCUACUAAGCUUUCAGUUUCCCUUUUGUAUGUUACAAUUGAUGUUUGUUUAACGCAUAAACUUGGUAUCUUUUUUCCCGUAAUGAUAUUUAAGCUUUUUUUUAUACUUGAUAUCCAAACUUUCAUUCUGUCACACCAUUUUGAGCAAUUUUUGUACAACUAUAUUAAAAUCUGUAGUUUGGUUAUCUUCAACAUUAAGGAUUUCUACGACAUACUUUUUGCGCAUUCCUCCCAUGACAUUAAGAAGUAGGGAGGCGAAAGUGGUGGUGCUAAAAGGAUCAGUUUAUCUAAUUAAGUGGAGAGUUGAAAAGGGAAAUAAAUUAGGAAGGAGUAGGGGACUCACACAUCCAUAACAUAUGCAUAUGUUAAGAUUAAAAAUUUACACAACCCAAUUGCAAAUGGUGAGACUUGGACUUGGAUACUCAAGGAUCCAAGAUCUCGCCUUAACCAACAAUGUUAAGAUCUCAUUGACUCUUUUGGAGUUUUUUCAAAUUCAGGAUUAAAAAUUAUGAUAUAACUCAAUAUAAUAUUAAAGAGUAAAAAUUAAUCAAAAUUUACAUAUAUCACUCAUUUAAUCAUGUGUACAGAUAAAAGGAAACCACUCGUCCUCUUGCCAACCCUACGUGUAACAUAAUUCACUAUAAAUUCCAUUUACCAACAUAUACAUACAUACAUAAAUAUAAAAGAGAACUUCAUUGGUCUUGGACUGGAUUGGCUACAAACUUUGACAAAAGGCAUGUGUAGGAGGAUUAAAUUCGAUGAAUUGCAUGAUAGUUUCUCCUUUUUGAUAAUUUAGUACAUGAGAGAAUAAUGAUGAUUGUGGGGGGGGGGUGCUCCAUCGAAAUAGCUGGAAUUUAUUUAUUUUAGUGAACUGGCAAAUGUAAUUUGUACGCCAAGUUAUAAGGUGAAAAAGGGAGAAAUCAUAUAGAUUUGGUUGGUAAUGGUAUGUUGAUGUUGAAGCACCUGCGGUGCAACGCCACAAUUAGUAGGCCCCUACCCCCGCUGUCACCCCAUCAUAUGUGCUUUUGGAUGGAUCCAACAUUUUCGUGUUCUUUCCUUCUUCAACAUCAUCAUUAUUAAUUAGUUACUCUUCAAUUUCUAUAUGUAAUUUGCUUUCUUUUCAUUCAUAGGUUUUCUGUUUUUCUUUCUUUGAUUUUGUCUUGUGCACAACUGACGUCCUCCAUUAUUUUUCCCCUGACGUCCUCCAUUAUUUUUCCCCUUUUGUAUAAUUGGGUUUGUGACUUCAAUAGUCUCCGUUUGUAUGGAAAUUAUUUUAUGGAUUUUUUCAUCAUAUCAUUUACGAUAUAUUUUUAGUUAUUUAAUGAUAUUUUAGUAAUUUUUUAUACCAUUGAUACAUAAAUUUGUUAAUUUUUUUACCCAGAACCUUUAAUCUCGAACUUAGAACCCCGAACUCCGAAUCUUGAACCUUGAACCCCAAACUUAAACCUUGAAUCUUGAAACCCUCAAGGUUCAGGUUUGAGGUUCGAGUUCGGGUUCAAAGUUUGUAGUUCAGGGUUUGAGGUUUGAAAUUUAAGGUCUGGGUUUAGGGUCAAGGUUCAAGGUUCAGGAUUUUGGGUUUGAGGUUCGAGAUAAAAAAAAUUAUCAAAAUUAUAUGUCAAUGAAAUGAAAAAAAUUACUGAAAUGUCAUUAAAUAAUAGGAAAGAGACCAUGGAUGAUGUGGUGGGAAUGGUCCAAAAAUAAUUUCUCAUUUGUAUGGGGUAUUGUUCCUUAUCUAUUAUAAUUUGGUAUCUCUAUUUUUAUAAUAUUAUUAGUAAAUCCAAAUUUAUAACGAUGUUGAUUGCUUCAAUAAAAUGAUAAGGUGGAUUUUUAUAGGAAGAAAGUUAUUUGAGUUUAUUCGAAGUUAUAAUUUAUAAUUGUAUUACCAAUUAUUAAAAAUAAAUAACUUAACUCAAACUAAGUCAUCAGAAUAAAUUUGAUUGUGGGAUUUGAAUUUGAGCGCUCCUUAGGCUUCAUUAGCUUAUUUGGGCUCUAUUUACUAAAAGAAAAUUAUCAACAAAAAAAUUCAUGACGAGCCAUUAAUAAUUUUAUUAAUUUGAACUAAUCAAGUCGCUGAUCGAUUUAUCGAGAUAACUUUAGAGAAGAGUUUAGUUAUAUAAGUGUAUGAAAGACAUCCUGAAAGAAUUAGCAGUUGUUAUUGAGAUUGAUAAAGGAGUAAUUUAUUCCAUUAUGAUAGAUUGAUAUAAUUUAAUUGUGUUUUUUUAUUUAUUUAUUUUAAAAAGAGUAGAAGGACGUAGUAAAGGAAUUUUCAUGCAUCAAUAAUUUAUAAUUUAAACUAUGAAAUUUCAAAAAAGAAGAAAUUCAUGUUGAAAUUGAUACUAUCAAGCAAUUUAGAAGUGUAAAAUUUUCAAUAUCAGCUGGAUAUUUAAUGUCAAAUAAACUAAAGAAAUGAGAAAGACAAGCCAAUUGUCCACAAUGAUUAACUUGUUCCUAAAAAGAAAGUUGUACAUUGACUUUGCUUAUAAAUCAAUCCAAUUUUUUUUAUAUAAAAGGAAACAAUUACAUACUUAUAUUGAGUUAUUUGUACCACAACCCAUUUAAUUAUUAUUUUAAUUAUCGAUUGAGUCUUAGUUCAGUUGGUAUUGACAUUAUUAUCGGUGUAGGAGGAAUGGGUUCAAGUGUGCUGAAACGCAUUAUCCUCCUAUUUAAAUGUUGGGAAGGGACUAUAUGAUCGAGAGUAGAUGUGAUAAGAACCUAUAAUAAGAUUAAUGUAAUGCCCCCUCGUUCCUUUAAAUGCUACUUGAAACAUACUUAAUUAUUAUUUACUAAAAUAUUGACAAAUCUGUAAUUUGAAUCUAGAUUCUUAUCAUAUCGGCUCUUUUUGGUACAAUGCUUACAACUAUCCAUAGCCCCUCCCCAAUCAUUAAAUAGGAGGAUAAUACACUUCAACGCAUUCGAAUCCACAUCCUCUUGUACUGACAACAAUGUUAAUCAAUACAAUUCUAAAUACGAGUGUACUACUUAGAUAAUCAUAUCCAAGGUACACAUAGUUUUAAAAUUUGAUCCACACAUUUAAAUAGACCCCACCUCUGAUCUUAUCUAGGAUUUAUCACCGAAGCUGACGGUUAGACAAACAAAACAACUUGAUUGAUAUAAUAUUGAUAUUUUACAGACUCAAUCGUAAUGUUUUAUAGUUCGAGAUGAACGUAGAAUCGUGGCCAUAAUUAUGGAGGUUUGGCUGAAUUGACUCUAUUUCUAAAUAUAUCAUGGUAGACAUUCAAUAUUAAAAAAAAGAUAAAGGGAUAAUAUAAUAACCCAAAACACCAAAUUUUGGUUGGUUUAAUUUGCAGCUUUAACCAAUGCUUUUGCUUGAUCCAUCAAUUAGUGAGGAUUUCGAUCUAAAUUAGAGGGUCCCAUUCGGUUAUUAAGCUCUUUUUCCCCCCUCGUGAUUGCCAUAACAUGGGCCCUUACCCUUUUAACUUUGCUUUGGUUUGGUUUGAUUUAAGGUUUAUUCAUAAAUUGUCCCUUAAACUAUACCUCAAUUUUUAGAUUGGUCCUUAAAGUUUUUUCUAUCAAGAGUGGUCCCCACACUAUCAAAUCUAUCUCAUUUUACCCAAAAAGCUUACGACAUCCAAUAAAAAUAUUUAAAAUGUGACACGUGUUACAUUCUUAUUGGUUAAUAUCAUUUUUUGGGUAAACUAAAAUAAAAUGAACAGUUUAAUGAUCACUUUUGAUCAAAUAAAAAAGUUUUAAGGACUACUCUAGGAAUUGAGAUAUAACUUAGGGGUUAUUUUGUUAAUAAAGCUUUGAUUUAAUUCAAUAGAGAAAUCAUUAACACUGAAAGAGUUUUCUUUAAUUUACUCAAAUGGUCUUUUUGUUUGUGUCACCUAACAUUUUGAAGAACAUCCUUUCUCUGUGUACCUCAUACAAUUCGUUAAUACGAAAAUUUUAUGAUUUUUUUAAAAUAAAUUUAAUUGUCACUUUGCAUGUUACAAAUACUUUUAAAUAAGGACUUUUUUCAUAUGAGAAUACCUUUAAUACCAAUUAAAAAACAUCUUAAACUUAAUUUAUCUAAUUUCUUGGGCAGGGACCUAGCCCAAAAUUGGUAAAAUUAAAAUUAGAUCUUUCUAAUUUUGAAGCACUAAAAUUGGAUUUCUUUUAAAUUGUAAAAUUAUAAAUUUAACCCUUAAAAAAAUUAUAAUUCAACUUUAGCCUCUAAUUUUUUUUCUCUAACUUACAUCUCCGCCUAAUUCAAUAUAUUUUAAAAAAAAAUUGACUACAAACAUCUAGACAUUACCAACAAAAAUAUAUUUAUAAUUAGUAUUUAAUAUAAAAUAUUUUAAUUCUAUAAGCAAUUUUCAAAAUUUUCAUAUAUCUCGAUUUUUCUAUAUAUAUUUUUUUAUUUUUAUUAAAUCAUGAAUGAAAUAUAUAUUAUCUUUCGGAUUCUACUUAUAAAAUCUAAUAACUACACUAAUAACGUAUUAAAUCAUUUUAUGUAUAUAUAUAUAUAAGUUCAAGUGGUCCAUAGGUAGCUUAGAGUACAAGGGAUUAAGUUGAGGGCCCUUAUCAUUUUCUCCAAAUGUGAAGUGAUGUUAACUGCUUAGCUUCCUCCUCUUGCCCCAUUCAUUUUCCUUCCUUUCCACAAUAUAUAUUGUAUAAAUAUUUAUGGGUAAUCGAUUGAGUCUUAACUCGAUUAGUAUGAGUAUUGUUGUCAAUACAGGAAGGCGUGUAUUCGGCACAUUAUCCUCCUAUUUAAGGGUUGGGAGGCUAGGAGUAGUUGUAGAUAUUAUAUUUAAAAAAAACAGAUAUGAUUAAAACCUAUAAUGAGAUUAUUAAAAAAAAUAUUUAUGGGUAAUCAGUUUAUACAAUUUCAAUUAGGCGUAUAAAUCCAAUCAUUAAUCAUUAAAAUGUUUUACUUUAUGCCAUAAUAUUGUUUUAACUGCAGAAGCAUGUGGGUUAAUGAAAACUACUUAUAGUAUCUCAAUUAAAUGUAAUCAACAACCUCAACUCAUAUCUUCCUUCUCUCUCUCACUCUCAAUUAUAUAACCUACUAAUAAUUAACUUUAAUAACCCACUUUCAAGUACAUCUCAGGCUACCUGCCAUACCAAGCCUAAAGCUCCUAAGAUUUUCUAAAAGGUUUGCACAAAAAUACAAAGAUUUAUAGGAUAAUGGAUUUGGGCAAAAAAUUAAGCUUAAUUAUUUAAAUUAUAGGUUGAAUUUAUCGAUAAGUCAUGUUAAACGUAAUGGUAAGAUACAUUUGUACUCUUAAGAAAAGAAUGUAGAUUCAAAUAUUAAAAACGAUAUUGUUAAAAAAAACAAUCACAAAUCUCAAACAUGAGUCAUAAAACAGACAUGUAAAAUACAUUUGGACUCAUUUAAGAUUAUUAAAACAUGGAUAAUUUAACUCAAUAUUGCAAUUUAGUGUUACAAUAUGAUUUCGUGAUAAAAUCAAUAAUGUUGAUUUGUAUUAUUGUAUUAAGUAGUGCAUGAAAUGUAGGAUUAGAUAAAUUUGUAUAAAGUGCAUGCUAAAAACUGUUUUGAAGGCUUUAUAGAAUUCUUUUCGCUUAAAAGAUAAGAGUCUACCUGAUCAGCUAAGGUUUACAAUAUUGCUUAUAGGUUUAGCUUUCAAUCGAAUUGAGUGAAAAUUUUUUGAGUUAAUCGAGUUAACGAGUCCUAUUUUAUCAUUCUAACACAAUUUGAAAUUUUCUCGAAGUCGAGUAAAAUGAAAUUCAAGUUAAGUCGAAUCGAGUGAAAUUGUUCGAGUUAAAUUAAAAAAUUAAACAUGUCAAAUUAAAAUCUUAUUACAGUAUAAUUAAUUUCAUGUUAGAGCACAUAAUAUUGAAACCAUAUAUAUUUGAAAACUUUUUCAAAGCAAGAUAAGGAAAAAAAAUACUUUAGUAUAAUAAACUUGAAUCAUUAAUUAACUUAUUUAAGUCCCCAAAAUUAUUAUUUUAGAACAUUUUUAAAUUUUUAACUUUCUUUAUAUAUUCUUUAUAAUUUUUUUUAAAAAUAUAAUUUUUGGAAUUUUUAUAAAUAUUUUGAAUUUUGAAAUUUAUUUUGAUUUUUUUGUAUUUUUUGUUGAAAAAGACCAAUUUGCUCAUUUUCAAAAUUGACAGGGAUCAAAAGGGUAUUUAUAUCAAUCUAUUACUCGAAUUAUUCGAGUUAUUCGAAUUGUAAAAUUCUACUCGACUUGAACUCAAAACUCGAAUUACUUAUUAAAUUUUACUCGAAAAAAUCAAAUAACUCGAUUCAAUUAACUCAUAAUUCAAUUUUUAUUUUAUUUUUUCAAAUCGAGUUUUGUUCACCCCUAAUAACUUAUUAGCAAGAAUUGUUCAAUUUUAAAAUACAAGCUAAUAAGAUUAUUUUAUCUUGAUAUUAAAUGCUAUUUAUACAACUUAUAAAAGAUGGUCGAUACACACAGAUGGGGUAGACUUUUUGAGUGUUUCAUUUUUUUGGUUCAUGGAACAUUUUGCAAGGUAUAUACACCUUGAUACCUUUGGUAUUAUUUGGAGAGUUUUAUUCAUUUGUAUGCAAAUAUGUUUGCGGUAUGUGAUAAUAUUUUGGGAGAGUGAGUGUAAAGAAUUGCAUACUAGUGAAACUACUUUUAUCUACAUUUUGCAAGAUGGAUACACCAUGAUUAGAGGUGUACAUGAGUCAGGUCGGGUCCAAUCAAAAUUUUAGACCCAUUUGUUAGGCUUGGGUCCAGAUAAAAAUAUUAAAAUUUAGGCUCGGUCCGGCCCGCCUGUAUUAAUUUUUUAUACAAAUUUAAAAAAUAUACAAUACAUCAAAAAUAUUAAAAAUAUUAAAAUAAAUGUUUCUCAACAAAUUGAAAAUAAAUUUUUAAAAAAUAUAUACUUAAAUAAAACUAAGAUAGGUGAAACUUAACAAGCAAAUGCCUCUAAAAUAGUAACAAAAUUAAUAAUAAAACAAUAGUUAUACAAUAUCCAAAUAAUAACAACAAAAUAGUAGCAAUAUAAUUGUGAAAUUGUAGCAAAAUAGUGAAAAACAACAAAAAAAAUAGCAACAAAAUAAUAAUAAAAAAACAGAAAAAAAACUGCAAUUUUUUUUUAUUUUGUAUAUUCGGGUCGGGUUGAGCCGGGCUCAAACCCAAAAAUCCUUACUCGAGGCUCAGCCCGUUUUAAAAUAAAUAUUGUUUAAUUAAUUAAUUAAAAAAUCAAUAGUGUUUAAAAAAUAUCACAAUGAAAUAUUAAAUUUUAUAAGAUUUCAUAAUUCUAAAAAAAUAAAAUAUGAAAAUGUUUAAAAAUUUUAUUAAUUUUUUUAAAAAAAUUAUACAAAAUUUUAAAAAAAUAAACAAAUACUACUAAAAGGUUUUAAAUCAAAAUUAAAUAUAAUGUAAUUAGAAAUUUAUUUUUAAAAUAUUUAUUUUAUUUUUUUAUAAAUACUAUUAAAUGUUUUUAACGGUAACAUAUUUUAAAAAGUAUAAUAAUUUUACAUAAAAAAAUUAUGUUUACUAAUUACAUUUUUUUUAUUUUUUUCCUAACAUAUCAUUAUCUGCAACUUGUCAUAUUAAAGAAUUGAAGAUUUAUUUGAGUAGUUAACUUUUUUACAAAAAGAACUAAUUAAUUUAUUAUUUUUAUAAAUUGUUACACCCCAUACCCGGUCUAGAUGUUAUGGCCGGAUCUUGAGGAAUUACAGAAGUUCAUUUUAAAACUAGAUUUUUAAUUUGAAAUCGUAUAAUAGAAUAAUGUUAACUUUGUAAAAUCGCUUUCUGAUUUUAAGGGAAAUACUCAUUUAAACUAUUUCUUUUAUUGCAGAAAAACACUUCAGUGAUCACUUCAUUUUGCAGCGGAAAUUUUCUAAGUUAUAAAAUAUUGAAAACUGUGGCUUGGUUUGUAAAACAAAUAAUUUUGCAGUUUAAAAAUAUAACAGUUGCAAAAUCCGUUAAAGCAAAUCAAAACAGAAAAUAAAGUCCCAGAAUAAUUUACAGUCCAAAAAAUUCAUAAUAAUUACAUUAACCAUUUUAAUUUAGAGAAUCUAACCCAAGCUCCCACACGUCGUCCAAUAUUAGGUUUCCUAAUCACCUGAGAUGAUAAAAGUAAAGGGUGAGCUAACAAGUUUCAUGUGUAACUCAAUCCAUACAAACAACACAGAUACAGUAACCGAUACGAAUAUAGAUGCAACUACAGAUACUAAUACUGGUUCUAUUUCCAUUCGCUACACACCAUCUUCAUCCAUCCCUACACACGAUUAGGGUAUUAAAUAUCCAUCCAACCCACACACCUAUAAGUGAGCAUAUGUCAUUUUUCAAAAUAGUGCAAUCAAGCUACCAGAAAUAAUGCGGUAAUCCACCAGAAUUAGAUAAGUGUGGUAAAGCCACCAGAAUAGAUAUGUGGUUUAAACUACCAAAUAAGGCAAAUCAUUAAAUUGUCAACACUUCCUCCAUCAUAUCAUUAUCCCACCCCAAUGCACAUGCAAACACUAAUUAGAUAAUAGAUACAUAUAAAUUGCACUAACAAAAGUAAAAUAUUAGAUUUCAUAUCUAUAAGUCAUACAUAACACAUUACGGAACCUAAGAAAUGGCAAACCUCGAAUCGUACUUCAAAUACGGCCCUAACUAAAUUUUACAAAAAAUGGGCUCACACGCCUGUGUGGCCCACAUGAUCUGGCACACGGCCUCACACAUGCUCAUGUGGCCCACGGCCCACUUAACUUAGCCCGUGUGGCUUAUACAGUUUGGCACACGGUAGUGUGGCGUCGACAGUGAAUUUUUUGGCUUCGAGAUUAUCGUUACACACCUAGUCGUUUUUCGAUACUAACACCACUACAAGGAUUCUAGAACCUAAAACAACAUUUAACACGAACAAUUUAGAAACUAUACACUAAAUAUAAGCCACUAAUUCAGCCACAACCACUAACAUUAGGCUUUAACAAGCCAAAAAUUAGUCUUUCGGACAUUUGGUUACUUACCCAGAACAAUAGCGACAGUCCUAAAAAUCUCCUAAUUCACUGAAAAGACGUCACACGCCUCACAAACUUCUCCUAUUGAAACAUAACAUGUCAUACGGAAACGAAUUAACCUUACUACUGAAGAACACACUUACGAGACUUGCACUUGAACAAAAAUACGAAUUCCUUGCUCGAACAUAGCACCACGAUGAUUACACGUCAGAAAAUCAAUACCAAAAUGAUUUAAACACAGGACCUCUAAGUAAGCUGAAGUCUUACCACUGAACCAACAAGCUCAUUUUUAUCAUUAAUUGAGCAAAAAUAAUAUAUAAGCUUAAUAUCCAAAUCAAGGGUUGGGUCAAAAAUUUUUUUAAAAAAAUUAAACAAAAGAAUUUGAAGGCCAUUUUACCAAAAUAGUCCAAAAAAAUAUUAUAUUUACAAAAAUAACUCAGGUUUAAAAACAAUCACCAAAAUAACCUAAAAUGAACAGUACCCACUCGUUUUUUGCACCCAUGAUUGCCUAAUAAUUGUGUCAGAAUUAAAAAAAUUAAUUUUUUUGGGUUUUGGCCUGUCAACGGCCGGAACCCAUGUAUUUUUUUAAAUUGUAUAAUAUUGAUAUACGAAAAAAGGAAAAAAAGAAAAACGAAAAAAAAAAUUUUGGGUGCUGGCCUAUCAAUGACCAGCACCCAGUACAUAUUUUUUAAAAAAAAUUCUUUUUUUUCGCAUCAGAAUCAGAUAACAGAUAUCAGAUAUCAGUACAAUUUAAAAAAGAAUUCUUUUUUUUGUGUCAAAAUCAGAUAUCAAUAUACGAAAAAAAUUAAAAAACAAAUUUUUUUGGGUGUCGGCCAUUGAAUAGCCGGCACCUAGUACAAAUUUAAAAAAAAAAAUCUUUUUUUUUUCGUGUCAAAAUCAGAUAUCAAUAUACGAAAAAAAUUUAAAAAAAAAUUUAGGUGCAGGCCUGUCAAUGGCCGGCACCCAGUACAAUUUAAAAAAAUUUCUUUUUUUUUUCGUGUCAGAAUCAGAUAUUAGUAUACGAAAAAAGUAAAAAAAAAAUUUGAGUGUUGGCUAGUCAAUGGCACGAAAAAAAAUUUGAUAUUUGAUUCUGACACAAAAAAAAAAGAAAUUUUUUUUUAAAAAUUGUACUGGGUGUCGGCCAUUGACAGGCUAACACCCAAAAAAAAAAUUUAAUUUUUUUUUGUAUAUUGAUAUCUGAUUUUACCACGAAAAAAAAAAGAAAUUUUUUUUUUAAAAUUGUACUGGGUGCUGGCCAUUGACAGGCCAGCAUUCAAUUUUUUUUUUUUGUAUACUGAUAUCUGAUUCUGACACGAAAAAAAAGAAAAAAAUAAUUUUAAUUGUACUGGGUGCCGACCAUUGAGAGGCCAACACCCAAAAUUUUUUUUUAAUUUUAUUCGUAUAUUGAUAUCUGAUUUUGACAUGAAAAAAAAAUUUAAAAUUGUACUGGGUGCCGGCCAUUGAAAGGCCAGCAUCCAAUUUUUUUUUAAAUUUUUUUCGUAUAUUGAUAUCUGAAUCUGAUUUUGACACGAAAAAAAAAUUAAAAAAUUAUACUGGGUGCCGGCUAUUGACAUGCCAACACCCAAAUUUUUUUUUAUUUUUUCGUACACUGAUAUCUGAUUCUGAAACAAAAAAAAUUUUAAAAUUUGUACUGGGUGCCGGCCAUUGAUAGGCCAACACCCAAAAAUUAUUUUUUUUCGUUUUUCGUAUAUUGAUAUCUGAUUCUGACACGAAAAAUAUAAUUUUUUUUUGUACAUUCCGGCACCCAAAAUUUUUUUUUCCUUUUUCGUAUAUCAGUAUUAUAAAAUUUAAAAAAAUACAUGGGUUCCGGCCAUUGACAGGUCAAAACCCAAAAAAUUAAUUUUUUUAAGCCUGACACAAUUAUUAAGCAAUCAUGGGUGCAAAAAACGAGUUGGUACUGUUUAUUUUAGGUUAUUUUGGUGAUUGUUUUUAAAUCUGGGUUAUUUUUAUAAAUAUAAUAUUUUUUUAGACUAUUUUGGUAAAAUAGCCGAAUUUGAACCUAGAACCUCAUACACACUAACACAACACAUAGCCACUAAACUAGAUUAAUCACUUUGAUAAUUUUUAACAAUUCAAAAAUAAAAAUUUUGGGGCGUUACAAUAAUAAUAUGGUUUAAAUUAUUUUUUACAUCAUUCAUAAAAAUUAUAACAAACUUACAAAAAGAUUUAAUGAUAUUUAAUUAUUAACGGGUAAAAAAAUUAUAUCAUAUAUCAUAUAUAUUCUAUAUUUAUUAUAAUAGUUUCAUCUUUCAAAUUUUCUUCCUCAUAAUUAAAGCAUAAGUUAUAUUUAUAAUAUUAUAAAAUAUUAUAUUUAAAAAAUUUACACACACAAUCAACCUAUGCAUAGCACGAGAUAAGAAAACUAGUUUAUCAAUAUGAACGAGUUUACAUAAACUUUAAUAUACAAAAUUCGAGCUAAAUCUAGCUUCAAUUUUUUGGUCAACUUCUUUUGACUUUAAAUCUUACUUCUUCUUCUUCUUUUGGCAUAACGACUUAUUUGGCACAAAAACAAAAGUCAUUUUAGCUUUUUAUGUAUUUUUUCACCAUUUUUAACCUUUAAACUUACAUUUUUUGUCAAAUCGCUCCAAAAUGAAUCGGUAUGUUAAUGUUUUUUAACUUUGCUAAUGUUGCAUACAUAUGGAUUGCUAUGUGGAUGACACAUCAACAUUUAAUUAAUUUUAAAAAAUAUAAAAAAACUAUUUUUAAAAAUUAAAAUCAUUAAAAUUAUCAAAUAAAUAUAAAUAUUUUUAAAAAUUAAUUAAAUGUUGAUGUGUCAUCUACGUGGCUAUCCAUACGUAUGUCAUGUCAGUAAAGUUAACAAAUAUUAAUAUUUUCAUCCAUUUUGGAAUAAUUUGACAAAGAAAUAGAAGUUCAAAAACUAAAAAAGAAAAAAUUAAAUAUAAGACCAAAAUAUAUAUUUUUAAAUUGAAGGACCAAAUAAAUGAUUAUGUAAAGUUGUGAAUAUUAAUCUUACCAUAACAAUCAUAAUUCGCUUAUGCUUUAUUCAUUUUUAGGGUUUUCCUUACUAGGAGUCUAGGAUACUUGAAGGCAGAUAUUAUUAUUAUAAAUAUUAUUAUAUAUUAAAUUAAUUUUUAUGUUUAAUAAUUAAAUUUAAACAUAUUUUUUUAAUUAAGGAACAAUAAUUUGGUCCGGAUGCGUCCUUGGACAGUUUUGUAAUUUCCCAAGUUAUUAACUUUUGUUUAGGGUUUAUCAUAGUUAGGAAUUAAUUGGCCUAAUUUCUCAACUUAGAUUUGAUGAUACGAUUAAAAAAUAGGAAAUAUCAAAAUCUGAUAAUAUGAAUUAUUUGUUGACACCUUUUUUUUGAUAAAACGGGGUCGACUUGGAUUUUGAAAACGAAAACGAAAAUGGGAGUCGCCACCAAUCCUUUUUGAUGAGGUGUAAUCGGAUCACCUUGAAAAGUGGUUGUUUUUAAUAAACGAUUUGAUUUUGUUAAAACAACAAUUUUGGUCCACGAAAUUCAGAAAAUCAGGUUCGGGAGUCGAUUACGUACGAGGAAGGAUUAGCACCCUCGUAACGCCCAAAAUUGGUACCUAGUUGAUUAAUUAGUGUCAUAGUGUCGAGAAUUGGAAACUUUGAAGAGAUUCAAAAUACGAUCCUUGAUUUUAAAAAACUUAUAUAAAAUAAGUUACUCGUUAAGACCCUCUCAUUUCGGAAAGAGAAAAUGUCACACCCAAUGAGUUAGGGCAUAAUAUUUCACUUCCUCAAAAAUGAGCUUAUCCAAAAAAAAAACUCGUGCAAUAAAAUUUAAAAGGAUAUUCAAUUGUUUAAGUCAGAUGAGGAAAUCGCAGCCCAAUACGUUAGGGCACAAUUUCUCAAAAUUCUAAACAUUGAAUAUUACCUUUAUUAUUUUUAGGAAAAUCCUCAUCUCGAGAAAACAACGUGUCAUAUCCAAUGCGUUAGGACACAACGUAUUGAAUUCCCGGUAAUGAGCUUUUUAUUCAUGUGUUUUUUUUAUUAAAGAGCAUUCUCGACUAUUUAGAUUAAACGAAAGAAAUUGGAACCCAAUACGUUAGGGCUCAAUCCUCUCGAAGAUCCCAAAUACCGAGUAUUGCCUUUAUUUUCAAAAUUUCCUCUUUUUACAAAUUCGGGUAAAAAUUGAUGUAAUAUUAAAUUUGAUAUAUGAAUAACAGCCGCAUUAAUAAAUGACAAUAAUGAAUAUGACGAUGUAGCAUAAAUAAUACAAGCAAUAGUAACGAAAAUAAAUUAGAUAAAAAUGAGAAAUCGAUGACAUACAAAAUAACAAGUAUAUAAGCAAAUAAAAUUAAAACAUUCUUUUAAAAUAACAAUGAAAAUGUAAAUAAAUAAGUAAAUAAAGAAAAUGAAUAAAAUUAUAAAAAAAUUUAAAAAGAUAUAUAUGUAUGUAUAUUAAAAUAUAUGUAUAUGUAUUUACAAAAUAUAAAAAAAUGUAUAAGUACAUAUAUAUAGGUAAAGUAUGAAAAUAUGUGUAUAUAUGUACAUAAAUUAAAAUGCGUAUAUAUAUAGGUAUAUAUAUAUAUAAAUGAAAUAUGUAAGACUAUACUUAUAAUGAUUUAAAAAUGUACAUAUAUAUAUUAUAGGGACUGUAUGUAUACAUAUGUAGGGAUUAUAAAAUGUAUAUGCCUAUAUAUAUAUUAGAAAUAUGCAUGCCUAUAUAUAUAUAACAAGAUUUUGGAAUAAAAAAAAAAGGUGUAACCGAAUAAAUAAUAAUAAUAAGUAAUAAUAUAAUAAUAUUAAUAGUAUUAAAUAAUUACUUUUAAUAGAAAAAUAACUAAAAUAGCAUAUUGAGGAUUAAAUUGAAAAUAAACGGAGUUUUAGGGCUGGAUUUAAAAAUGGAAAACACAAAGGGGACCGAUUUAUAACACACGCGAAGUCCAGAGGAUUGAUUUGGAAAAUAUCCCAAGCCCUACGCGUAGCGUUUUGAUGCGGACUGAAAUGAAACAUAAGAGAAAUUAUGCAGCCGAAUUAAAAAAACAAAAUGGGACCAAAUUGCACUAGGCUGCGAAAGAGGACGGACCUCUAGCGAAAUAUCCCCCUUCACUGCAGAAACACGAGGAUCCUGAGGGCGGACGGGUCGAGUCACGGGUCAGGGCCAAAACGACGUUGUUUUGGCACCUGAUCCCUAGUUGCAAAACGGGGCCAUUUUAUUUAGGGUAUUUAAGUAAAAAAAAUUGAAAAAUCAAUACAGCCACCAUUUAAAAAAAAUUCAAAACCCCUCCCCUUUUAUCUCAAGAUCCGGCUCUCAGUCCCCUCGGCCUCCGUCGCCCCGCCUUUCUGCUCGCCGCACCGCCACCGUAUUCGACGACCGACGAAGCGCAAGAACGGGCGUUCGAAGCCUUGCCCCGGUGAGUUUCCCCUUUCCUUCUUUUUUUUUAUUUACCAUAUAUAAAAAGAAUUAAAAAUAGAAUAAAAAAUAGGGAUACACUAUCAAAAUAUGGAUCUUGUUCCAAAAUCAAACAAUCACCUUGAGAUUGUUGUGUUUCUUUUUAUUCUUUGUGUCUUUUUGAUUUUCUGAAAUGUUCAAAAGAAAAGAAAAAAAAAACCCUUACAAUCGGUUUUAGAUUGCUUUUAUAGUCAUUUACAACACUUUUUUUUAUCUAUUUUUCUAAUGUUUCUCUUGCGUGCAUGUUCUUCUUUGUAGGGAGUGGUUGGCGCGACAGGGAGGAGCGGUGGUGGUAGCUGAGGCUAGGGAUAGGGUGAGGUGGCUUCUGAAACCCUAGUUUGACUAUUGGGUCAGUGGGUUUUGGGUUGUAAUGGGCUAGUAUUUUGGGUUUAAGUUUGGGUUUCAAUUGGGCUAGGGUGUUUUGGGUUAAAUUUCUUGGACUGUUAAUUUUUUAAUUUGUUUGGGUUUUAUUUGUCUGGGCCCGGGUAAAAAUGGGCUUGUACAUUCUUAAUACUAGUUUUUUUUAUAUGAGUAAAUAGAUAAUUACUUGAACCAAUUUAAUAAAAAUUAAUAUAUUAAAAAAUAUAAUGUCAUCAUUUUAAUAGUUUAUAUCUUUAUAAAUUUUAAAUGAUUAAAUUAAAUUUUUAUUAUUUGAGAGGUUAAAGUACACUUUUACUAUUACUAAUUUAAAAUUUUAUAAAUUAUAAAGGAGACUAAAUAAAAAAAAAUCCAUUUUAGGGAGGCCGGAAAACCUUGCCAGCCUCCCUGACUUCACCAUUAAAAUCUAGAAUAUGCUCCUCACUAUGCGUCGGAAAAUUAAAGAUUUAAAAUUAUAUUAUCGUGUAAUAGAUAUAAUGAUUUUAAUUUUUUAAAUAAAUAAAUAAAGUUAAAGUUAAAAUCAAAUCAAUGUGAUCAAUUGUACUAAAUAUAGAUGAUUUAAGACAUGAUGCAAAUAAAGCAUAGUAAAAUAAUUAAUAUAUAGCAUGCCAUGAUAACAAAUGCGAAUUUAGAGAGGCAGACAAGGGUUCUUUUACUAUUUAGGUUUUUAAGUUUUUUUAAAAUUUUAAAUUAGUAAAUGUAAAAUUGUACUUUGCCCCUUCAAGUUAUAAAAAUUUGAUUUAAUCUUUUAAAAAUCUGGCUUCGCCCCUGCAUGAUAAUAAUAUUAAUACAACACAAAUACACAAAAAAAUCAAAUUUUAUACAUAAUAAUUAUUUACUUGUAUAAUUUUGUAAUAUUUUGAAUACAAAGAAAUAACACAAACAAUUUUCUCUAAAUUGAAUCACUCAAAUAAAAUAUUUUAAAUAUCUCAUAAUUUUAAAAUGUAGUAUAAGGAUAAUUUUAAAAAAUAAUUUAUUAUGAUAAAUUAUAUAAAUUAAAUAAAGAAACAAUACUAACCCAAUAUAAAAGAAAUGUAAUAAUAAUAUCAUAAACAAUUUUUAGUUAAUUAAACAUUGGAUAGCUUCGCUGGAUCAUGUCCUGGCUUCCUCAUGUAUAAGAAAAAGCCUCACAUUGAGGGGCCAGUAGACGUUUGGCCUUCAAACGAUUGACUAAUUUUUGUCUUUUAAUUAGAAUUUGGCACGUUGAUGAUGGGAGGAAAGAAAGGAAAGCGUGAAAUAGAUUUCAUCGUGGUCUGGGUCAUUCGUCCAGAUUCGAAGGUCUACUUAAAAAGUGAGAAAGUUUAAGUAAAAAUAUAGGCUCGAAAAAUAGAUUUCGGCAAAAAAUAAUACUCGUUUUCUAAACGGGUCAAGCCUCGGAUAAGAUCUUUUGAUCUGGCCUGGCCUGAAUUUGCCUAAAAAAAUUUUCACUACUGUUUAGUGUUGGUUUGUUGUUGUUUGCAGCCAUUUUGAUGUUGUUUUGUUAUCAUAUUGCUACUAUAUUACUACUAUUUUGUUGUUAUUGUUUGGAUAUUAUAUAUCUCUUGUUUUAUUAUUAAUUUUGCUACUAUUUUAGAGGCAUUUGCUUGUUAAAUUGCACUAUCUUAGUGUUAUUUAAGUAUAAAGACUUUUUUUAAUGUAUUUUCAAUUUAUUGGGAAACGUUUAUUUUAAUGUUUUUAGUGUAUUUGAUGUAUUAUAUUUUGGGUAGACUACCAAAAUAGUCACUUUUGUUUACCUCGGGUUACAUUUUAGUCACUUAUGUUUGAAAUGUUAGGUUUUAGUCACUUACAUUAUCGUUUUGUUACGAAAUGGUUGUUACUCUAUCAUUAAGAUUUGUUACUAGUUCGUGAUAGAAUGUGCAAGUGUACACAGUCGUUAUCAAGUAAUAAGUAAGUAAAAAGAGUUAUUGUCUCCACAGGGACUGUGUUUAAAUUGAUAAUUGUAAAAUUACUAUUCACAAGUUGGUUAAAAAAACACAAUAUUUUCAAGGUGAUUGAUGUUAGAAUUAAAUUAAUGCAAAUGAAUUAACCUAAAUGCAAUGCAAUGAAAUAAGAUGCAAUGAGAUGGUUUAGCAACAAUUUCAUAAGUUUUAACAAAAAUAACACGAAUGAGCUAGAACAACUACAACACUUGACUCAAUUAGUAUGAUGAUAAUCAGUAUGUUUUUUUCACCUUCAUGUUGGAAAUUCGUCAUGCGUAAUUAUACACGUAGACCUUUAAAUUCAAUAAUGUGUGAUUGUCAUGUGUGGUUGUCAUGUGUGGAUUUUAAUUUACACUAUAGCAAAACAGGUUUUUAGCGGCGUUUAUAGCGGCGUUUGAACGAAAAGCGCCGCAAAAAAUCGAGCAUUAGUGGCAAAUUCUAACAAAUGCCACAAUAUGUAAGCAAUAGCGGUGCUUUUACUAAAACGCCGCAAAUGAUCAAGCAUUAGGGGUGCUUAUAGAAAAACGCCGCAAAAAACUUGGGAAAAACAACGCCGUUUGCUUUUUCCAUUAGCGGCGAUAAUUAACAAACGCCGUAAAAAAUCUAGAAUUAGCGACACUCUUUUACAAACGCCGCAAAAGAUCGAGAAUUAGUGGCGUAUUCUGUAAAACGCCGCUAAAGGUCAAACAUUAGCGGCGCUUUACGAAAAACGCCGUAAAAAAUUUGAGAAAACGACAUCGUUUUGUAUUUUGAGAUUUAAUGGUAUUAGCGGCGCAUUUUAACAAAUACCACAACAGAUCGAGAAUUAGCAACGGUUUUUAUGAAACGCCGCUAAAAAUGAGCAAAACGAUUUCGUUUUUUUGUUUAGCAUUAGCGGUGUUUUUUAAGAAACGCUGCAAAAAAUAGUUUUAUUUUACACUUUUUGGUUUAGGGUUUAUGGUUUUAAGGUUUAAAGUUUAAGGUUUAGGGUUAGUAUUUAAGGUUUAGGGCUUAGGGUUUAUGGUAUAAUGUUUAUUAUUUUCGGAUUAGAAUUUUGAGUUUUGCGUUUAUGGUUUAGAGUUUGUGGUUUGGAGUUUAAGGUUUAGGGUUUAGUAUUUAAGAUUCUUUUUUAAUUACUUUUGUCCCCUAUAAUAUCUAUAUUUAGGGUUUAGGGUGUAUGAUCAUGGUUUAGGGUUUAAGGUUUAUGGUUUAAGAUUUUAAGGUUUAGAGUUUAGUUAAUACGGGAGAGGUUUAUGGUUUUGGAUUUAAGGUUUAGGGUAAUUUAAGAAUUAUGGUUUAGGUGUUUAGGGUAUAGGGAUUAGGGUUUAAAUUUUAUGGUCUAGGGGUUUUAGGAUUUAGGGGUUUUUGGGUGUUUAGGAUCUUGGGUUUAGGGUUUUUUGUCUAAUUAUGAAUUUCAUCCUUCUAUCUUAUAAAAAAAAAGUUAAGCUUUUUUCUUUAAUUCAUUAGAAUUUAAUCUUUGUACUUUAAAAAAAACUAAUUUUAAAAUAAUUAAUAGAAUUAUUAAAAUUUUAAGAUACCCAAAUUAAAUUAUUUUUUAAUAGUAGAGGAAGAAUUGUCUUCCAUCAUUGUAUUCAAUUUUAAAAUUGAACAAUUAAAUAAUGUCAUAUUAAAAAUUUUAAAAAUUUAACAAUUAAAAAUAAUGUCAUAUAUAUUAGUGUAUCAAAUUUUAAUUUUAUAAAAUCGUUAAAUAUUUUUCAAAUAUUUAACGGUCGUGGCGUUUGGACCAAAAACGCACUACACCAAAACAGACUUUUAGCGGCGCUUUUUUAGGCCUUUAGUGGCGCUUUUUAGCACCGUCGCUAGACCAAGACCAUUAGCGGCGCUUCUUUCACAAACACCGUUAAAGACCAUGACCUUUAGCGGUGCUUUUCCCACAAACGCCGCUAAAGACCAAGACCAUUAGCAGCGCUUCUCGCAAAAAUGCCGCUAAAAACAUAACCUUUAAAAAAUUUAUUUUAAUCAAAUUAUAUUUAUUUUUAUGAUAAAUAUUAUAUUUUGUUUUAUUUUAUUUUCUAAAUUUGAACUUUAAAUAUACUUUUAAGGAUAAAUAAAAAAUAUUAUUUAAAUUAAAUUUUCUAUGAAAAUUUUAACUUUAAAACUAAAUAUAAAAAUUAAUGAAUUUAGUUUUAGAAUUUAAAAUAAUAAAUUAAUAACACAAUUAAAAUCCAAAAGUUAGAACUCUUAAGGAAAAAUAAAAAUUUAGAAUCAAAACUAAAAUAAAUAAUACAUAUGCAAGGUAAUAAAACAUACAAUGCAUUUUCUUAAUCAAGUAAAUCUUGGUAAUAAAAUAUAUAAUACAUUUAUUUAAUCAAGGAUCUCUUGUAAUGAACUCAAAGCAAUGAGCGUGAAACUGAAAGCAGCAGAAUCGUAAUGAACUCAAAGCAAUGAGCAUCAGAAUUGAGAAGAAAAAAAGAAUCACGAUACGCAAACGAGAUCCAGAACUUCUGUUCCUUUGGACGCCCACACUGGAUAGUCCCCGCUUCAACGCCAUUGGCUAUCAGAGCCUAAUAACAACAAUAGCAGCAGCAAAAUCACUCAUCAAAAGGUGGAAAAAGGAUAAUUACAAGUUAACAGUGAGGAGAUCGCAUGAAACUGAAAGCAGCAGAUCCGUAUCGAAGCUAGUUGGAAUGGAAAUCCAUGGGAAAGCAAGCAUAGAUUAAAACUUCAUAGAACUUUCUCUAAAAACUUCAUAGUAAACUGCUUCAGUCUACUUUUUAUUUUACUUGUACAACAAUUACAUGAUAUGCCAAAAUAAAAAAUAUGGGUCUGCGCCACAGAAUCCAUAAAAAACUUCAUAGAACUUUCUCUAAACUUUUACUUGCCAAUGUUGUCAACCUUUUUUCAGGAAUUUGGAGCAUGCAGAAACCAUAUAAUUUAGCUAUCCCAUUUUACAGUGAAAGCUAGGAACACACAAGAAACAGAUGAAAAAGGAUAAAUCUAAUACCCGUAAAGCAUCAGUAACUUGGCGUCCUUGUAGCCCAUCUUUUUGCAGAGACCAUCUAUUCUCAGCAUUUUUCUUCUUUGAAAAACCCGUAAAAUAUGGGUUUUGGUGUUAAAUAAUGCAACUGCCAUCAACAUCAAGGUCGAAAUCAUAGCUUAUUCUUCCAUGUUAAGAAAAGUAUGCUAAAAAAUGAGGGUUAGAAAAUAAAAUAAUGCCUGGUUUGAAACAUACACCAUUGAUGUAAGAAUAGGGUUAGAACUCUAUGAACAUUAAGCAAAAUAGCCAAUUUAAAUUCACUUAACAACAUUAAGAAAAAUGAUACAAAUGCAAAAAAGAAAAAAAUAAUAAAUAUAUACAAGACAAACAAAAGAAGAGAAGAUUAGUACUAAACCAAUGUUCCCUUACCGAGAAGACAUGAUUUCUAAUCAAUGAAUUAGUGCCACAAAAUAAACAAAAAGAUCAGCGGCACAGGCACAGAACUUGCGCAUUUUUUAACUGCAAUUAAAUCCAGUUCCAUUUUGCAUAUAUAAAAAGAAAAUAUAAGCUCAAUGUGCCAAAAAAACUAAUAAAAUUUGAGCUCAACUUAACAAAAAUCAAAGUGCAGCCAAACAAUGACUCUAGUUCUGACCUUAAUAAUGGCCAACUAACUAAAACUUCCUUCAUACCAAACAAAGACAGUAUAUCGAUAUUCUUCAUACCAAACAAAGACAGUAUAUCGAUAAGCUUAGUGCUAAAGGCCCGAGCAUUAGCGGCGCUUAGCAUUAGCGGCGCUUCUUCAAAAACGCCGCUAAAAGCCCCAAAAACUCAGAAAACGGUGUCGUUGGGCUUUGGCUUUUUGCAGCGCUUUUUAGAAAACGCCGCUAAUGCUUAUUUUUAGCGGUAUUUUCUGAAAAGCAUCGCUAAUGCUCUACCUUUAGCGGCGUUUUUAUAAAAGUGCCGCUAAUGCUUGAUUUUUAGUGACGUUUUUUGCCCAAACGCCGCUAAAAGCUUGUUUUUGUGUAGUGAUGCCACAACAAUGUCUUAAAAAUUAUACAAAACGGGGCCGUUUGGUUACAAGAAUUUAAUUUUUAGUGGUGUUUUUCUCCACAACGCCGCAAAAGGUAUGCAAUAGCGGCGUUUGUUAUAAAAAUGCCACAACAAUGUAUUAAAAAGUGCACAAAAACUGCGUCGUUUGCUAACAGGAUUUUAACUUUUUAGUGGCGUUUUUCUCAGAAUCACCGCAAAAGGUAAGCAUUAGCGGCGUUUUGUCUAAAAACGCCGCAACAAUGUAUUAAAAAUUGUUCAGAACGGUGCCAUUUCGUUUCAGAAAAUUAAAAAUUGCUCAGAACGUCGUCGUUUUCUUCCACAUAACAAUUUUCUUCCCCUUUCCCGCACCCAGCCCCUAAUUCCCCUUCCAAAUCCCUAAUUCCCCUUCGAAAUCUCUUCCAAAUCCCUAAUUCCACUCAUUCACAGAGACGAACCUGCAGAACUAGCAUUGGUUUUAUUUUUGUUUCUUCGAUUCUUCAUUUCGUUUUUUACUUAUUGGGAGCAUCUAUUUCGAUUUCUUCACAACAUUUAGACGAAGACAGAGUAAACGACAUUCUAUUUUUUGGGUAAGCUUGAACCAGUUUCAUUUCCUUUUUUUACGUGUUUAGGGUUUGGGUUAUUCUUGUUUGUGUGAAUUUUUUGUUUUUUUCAAAGUUAUUGACCCUGAAAUCCAGUUAAUUUGUCUUUGGUUUUAGGGUUUCCGAUCUGUAAAAACGUUCGCAUUUCACACUUUUACUCGUGGAAUUUGUUCUGAAGUGAUUUAAUUUCUUUUCAUCUUCCUAAAGGUAUUUUUUUCUUCUCUCUUAAUUCUAGUUUUAGCAAUUUAGUCUAUUUAGGGUUUAAACCAUUUACUGUUACAUUUUGACAAUAAAAUGCAUGCUUUCGAGUGCCUGAAUUUAUUUUGUAUUGAAAUAUAUUUUAAAAUAUAUCAUUAGUGCAUUAUUGGUUGCUUUCUCAUGCAGAUUUAGCAAUUUAGUCAGGCAGAGGCAGAGUAGUAGUUUUUUCUUUCCAUUUUGAUUGUAGCAAUUUAGUCGGCAAAUUUGGUAGCUCUCACUGGUUUGAAGCAAUACACAGAAAGUCUAGAUAACCAGAAGGUUAGUUAAUCCUUUAUUUUCUUUUUUUUUCAUUUUUUAAAUUUACGUUUGAAUUUGGUAUAUUUUUAGUUGGGACUGUUUUAUUUAGGAAUUUGGUUAAUGUUGCUGCAAGUUCUUUUUUGCUGCAAGUUCUUUUUUGCUCCAUUUUCUACUAAGUGUUGUAUGUUAAGAUCGGUUAUGGAAUAUAUUUGCAAUUAUCAUACAGUAUUUUGGUUUUUAAAAAUCCAAAUUGAAAUCAAAUUGAACCGAACCUUUCACUGGUUUGAAUCGGUUUGGUUCAUCAAUAAAUACAUAAUUUCUUUAAAACUUUUUUUUAUAUUAAAGUUACUUUCACUCGUUUAAAUAUGAAGUUUUUAUUUUCCCACUGUGAAAGUUUUUAAUUUUUAAUUUUUGUUUGGAUAAUUUUGGUUUAUCAACUUGUGAAAUGAAUUGAUUAAACGUUUUUAUGAAUCGAAUUUGUUUCAAGUUCAGAUUUGAUUUGGGUUUGUUGUAAUUAUAUAUUUUCAAAUGAAUAAAUAAUGCAUAAGUUUACAAAACAUAAUGUGUUAUUGCUCACGAAAACCUAAAAGAUUAUGUCCGAAUAAAGACAAAACUGCAGCUAUAGUCCAUCAACAUCAAAUUUGUGGAAGGACUUAAAAGGAUUAUGCUUAAUGAAAAUGGUUGCUAUAAAAAUUAUUUUUUUGAAUAAUUAUGAGUAAAUUUUUUAAAAAAUCGAUCUACUCUAAAUUUAGUGUAUGGCAUAUUUUGUAAAGAUAUACGAUAAAUACACUUGUCAAUUUUUUUAAUUUCCAUUUUAAAAUUGCCGCAAAAACAACUCUUUUUUAUUAGGAUUUAAUUAAAUUGAUUUCAAUCGGCAAAGUAUGAUGAAAUUCUUACUAUCAUUAAAAAAAUAGGUAAAUGUUAUGUUGUUGAGAUGUUUUAGGUUGGUUAAUAUUGGUUACGAUACUUUAAUCACCUCCAAUAUAUAUAAAAAAAAAUUAAAAAUUUGAGAAUUUAUGAAAUGAUAUAAUGUUAAUUCGUUAGCAUUAAAUAUUCUUAUUAUGUUACAAGUCAAUUAAAUUGAUGUCUUGAGCUUUGAUUUAAAUUAAAAAAGAAUAAAUUUAAACAUUAGAACGGAAAUAUCUAUAUUAUAAUAUUUGUAUCUAUAUACUAUUAUUUUAGUGUUUUAUUGAGUUGAUGUUAAUAUUUAAUAUUUUUAAAUGUUUUUAAAACUUAAAAAAUAUAUAUCAUAGCUUACAUAACUUACAUAACUCGCAUAACUUAUAUAUAUCAUACCAUAACUUAAAUAACUCACAUAACUUACAUAACUUAAUAACUUAUAUAUAUUGUCGAAACCAUUUUUAUAAAAUUUGAAAAACGGGGAUCGACUUCGAAAAUAAAAUGGGAGUCGCCACCGAUCUUUUAUUAAGGUGUGACCGGUUCACCGUUAAAAUGAUUUUGGUCUGCGAAAUUUUGAGAAAAUAAUUUCGGGAGUCGGUUACGUACGAGGAAGGGUUAGCACCCUCGUAACGCCCAAAAUUGGUACCAAAUUGAUUGUUUAAUGUCUUAAUGUCGAAAUUUUGAAAAAAUUUUGAAAUACAAUCCUCUGAAGUUUAAAUUUGAAUAAACCAAAUUGCAUAAUAAGACGCACUUAUUUCGAAGAAAUAAAUUGCCACACUCAGUGAGUUAGGGUGCAACAGUUCAAUCUUUAAAGUUAGAUUUGUCCUUUUAGAUUUUAAAAAUUCACGUGUUUUGAGAAGGAUAUUUGGUUAGUUGGGUCAAUCGAGAAAUUGGAAUCCAAUAAGUUAGGGUUCAAUUUCUCGAGAUUCCUAAACACCAAAUAUUGCCUUUAUUUUAAAAUCGAGAGAACAAGAUGUCAUAUCCAGUAAGUUAGGACCCAACAUCUUGAAAUCUCACAUGCUUUAUUUUGAAAUUGUAUGGUUUUAACAAAAUAAGCACUUGGCUAUCUAAAUUCAUCGAGAAGAGUUGAAGCCCAGUAAGUUAGGGCACAACUCACUCGAGAACCAUGAACACUAGGCCUUUUCUGAAAAUUAUGAAAUAAAAUGAUUGUGGUGCUUUGAUAAAAUACAAUUUUUACAAAUGAGACAUGAUUGAAUAGUAAUACAUAAUAUAAAAGAUAAAAGAUAAAUAGCAACACAAACCUACACUAAGACGUAACAAGUAGGUGAUAGAUAAAUACAAAUAGCAAUAAUGAUUUUAGUCAUAUUAUACUAAUACCAACAUCAAUGUUCGAAAGCUAAACAAAUCUAUCAUCAAUUUUAAGAAUACACCAAGAUAAUAAAAAAAUGAAAAAAAUAUCCUACGUAUAAAAGUUUUAAAAUAAAUUGCAUGCAUGAACUCAAAAUAAACUUGAAAUAAAAUAAUAACAACCUUGAAAAAUAGUAUAUAAAAAAAAUUAUAUAAACAUUUAGCAUAUAGAUAUACAAAAAUGAAUUUUAAGAUAUAACCUAAACAAAACAUUAAAAUGUAUACAAAUUAUACCAAAUUCUUAUAAAAAUAUACAUAUUAAUAAAUAAUGAAUCAAAUAAUAACAUGUCAAGUUUGAAGAUAAAAAUAUAUAAUAGAUAUUAAAAAAAUAAUAUAUGAUAAAUUUAAAACAUAUCAAUAAUAAUUUAAAAUAAUAGUAUAUUACAUUUUAAAAUUAUACUAAUAAUAAGUUUAAAAGUAAUGUCAAACUAAAUAUUAAAAUAUGCUAUAAAUAAAUAUAUUAAAAUAAGUACUAAAUUCGAUUUAAAAUUAUACUAUUAAAAUCAAGUUAAAGUUAAGACAUAAUUUAAAUAUAAAGAAAUAAUAAUAAUAAUAAUAAUAAUAGGAUUAAAAAUGAUAUUGGAAUUCAAAUAAAAAUAAAAAUAAAACACUACAAAUAGAAAUAAAAAAGAAAAAAUAAAGAUAAACUAAAUUGGUAAUCGACGUAAAAAAUGAGGGACUAAAAUUGUAAUUAAACGCAUGACCUGGGCAUUCAAUCCUAAUAAUGAAAACGACACCGCAUAACUAUGGAUCAAAUUGAAAACAAAAUAAAAUACACGAUUCAAAAUAAAAAAAUGAAGAAAAUCAAAUCGAAACAUCACAAAACAAGAGGGACUCAUCGUGCAAAUAGACCAAUGAAUAGAGACGCGCGAAUCCUGCCCCAGGUCGGGUCACCACGUUGGUCUGAGCCUCUAAACGAUGUCGUAUUGUGGCCACUGCACAGGCUCUGAACGACGUCGUUUCUUUCACUACUUAUAAGUAGAACCCUAGAGCAAUCAGCAAUUUAUUUUAUUUAAAAUAAAACCUUAAAGAUUUGAUUGCUGUUUUCAGCGCCGUUCUGUGAUGCAGUCAUUCGAAAAGGAACUUCGAAUCCUUGCUCAACCUCCGAUUGCGACAGAGAGAACCAGGAUCCGGCGGCCAGGUAAGUUCUCUUCUAACUCAUCCUUUUUAAAAAGAAAAGAAAAGAAAAGUAACAUAGAUGGAUCCCCUCGCCGCAUCUGUGGAUCGACUACUCAGGAGAUCCUCAGCCUCGUCCGACCCUGAUUGCGACGGAGCGAACGGAGACCGGGUAAGCCUCUCCUUUCCUUUCUCUCUUCUAUUUUAGUACUAAUCAAUGAACAAAGGAGCAGAGAAAAAAAAGAAAAAGCAAAAAGAUUAACAAUCACCUUUCGAACUUUUCGAUUUCUUCGAAUGAAUUUUUUUUGUAUACAAUAUGCAUGUGUGAUUUUUUUUGUCUCUGUGUCCUUUACAAAGGCCUUGCCUUUUUGUUUUAUAGGCCGAAAGAAAAAAUAAAUAAAAAGAAUCCAUUUUUUCGUUUUCUCUGCUGCGUUUUCUUCCCAUUUGCAGGUAUGGCGUGCGGGGCUGGGGACGUGGCAUGUACGGAGGCGCGCGCGAGGGAAAAGGCUCAGAACGUACGGAGGCUGGUCACGUGCGGACAAAAGGAGCUGCUGCGGCGCUGGGGUUUGCCCUAGGGUUGCUCUGUAUUUUUCUUGUUGGGCCGCUUCGUCAUUGGGCUAGGGUUUUAGAAAUUUAGGUUGGGUCUGGGUUGAAUUUGGGUUGUGAUAUUGGGCUUAGUGGGUCUGAUGUAUUUUGGGUUUGUAAUAUGGACUGAUGGACUUUUAAUAAUUUUGUUUUUAUUUAUAUUUUUUUUAUUUAUUUAUUUCUGAUUUGGACCGGGCAAAUUUGGGUUAUUACAUAUAUCAUACCAUAACUUAAAUAACUCACAUAACUUACUUAACUUAAUAACUUAUAUAUAUCAUACCAUAACUUAAAUAACUCACAUAACUUACUUAACUUAAUAACUUAUAUAUAUCAUACCAUAACUUAAAAUAACUCACAUAACUUAACUUAAUAACUUAUAUAUAUCAUACUAUAAUUUACAUAACUCACAUAACUUACAUAACUUAAUAACUUAUAUAUAUCAUAUCAUAACUUACAUAACUCAGAGAACUUACAUAAGUUACAUAACUUAAUUAUACUUAUAAAUAACCAUGAUUACCCGUGUAAUUUAUUGUCAACUUUAGACUUCAAUAACAACGAAAUGGACUGGUCUUGGAUGAAUUUGUCAAGGGUAAGCAACGACUAUCGAAAUGGAGUACAAAUUUUCCUAAAUUUUGUAUUCCAAAAUACAAGCCAAGAGAAUAUGAUUCUUUGCCCGUGUAAGAAGUGUGGCAACAUCAAUUGGCAUUUUCGUGAAGUUGUCUAUGAGCAUCUAAUUGCCGAUGGGUUUCUUCGGGGGUAUAAAGAAUGGAUUUUCCAUGGAGAAUGCACACCUAGUACUUCCUCUUCAACGAUUAAUCUGGCUCAUCCUCAUAGUGCUUACCAUCGGUCUGUCAGAGAAGAUAACAUGGAAGGUCUGUUUCGAGAUGCAUUUACUAUGCGCAAUCAUGGUUUGCAAUCAUUUUCACCCGACUUUGUUGUAUCCGAUGAUUGUAAUAUCGGUAGAAAUGCUUUUACCCAAACGGAAGAAGUAUACCUAAUGAAUAGCCAAAUGGAGAUGCGGAAAAGUUCUACACGCUGCUUAAUGAAAUGAAUGAAGAACUUUAUGAGGGAUCAAAAUUUUCAAAAAUGUCCUUCUGUAUUUGUCUUUUUCAGUUAAAGUGUUUGGGAGGGUGGACUGGAAACUCUUUGACAAUGCUGUUAAAGUUUUUGAGAGAGAUGUUUCUGUUUGCAAAAACCUCUCAUUCAUGCAAAGAUAUGAAGAAACUGAUAAAAGAUUUAGGCCUUGGGUACAACAAAAUUCAUAGUUGCUCAAAUAACUGCAUGUUGUAUUGGGGUGAUCGGAAAAACCAACAGUGUUGUCAUGUAUGCGGCCAAUCCCAUUGGAUAAAUAGAAACAAAAAAGAUGGGAAUGACGAUGAAAAUGAUGUACAGUAAAGAAAGAAGCUAAUUAAGAUUUUACGAUAUUUUCCGCUACUACUAAGGCUUCAAAGGCUUUUCACGUCGUCGAAGAUAGCCGAGUCUAUGACGUGGCACCAUGAUGGACGAACCAAUGAUGGAUUAUUAAGGAAUCCGGUGGAUUCUUUAGCUUGGAAAUCAUUUGACAGUAAAUUUCCAAGCUUUUCAAGCGAUCCUAGGAGUGUGAGGCUUGGGCUAGCAUCUGAUGGAUUUAAUCCUUACAAAAUCAUGAGCACUGCGUACAGUACUUGGCCUGUAGUGCUUGUUCCUUACAAUUUGCCUCCAUGGAUUUGUAUGAAGCAAUCUUCCUUUUUCUUAUCUAUGAUUAUCCCUGGAAAGAAAGGUCCCGGAAAUGAUAUUGACAUUUAUUUGCAGCCACUUAUUGAAGAGUUAAAAUAAUUAUGGGCUGGUGUUGAGACAUAUGAUGUACUGAGAAAGGAGAACUUUAAUUUACGUGCAGCUUUGAUGUGGACUAUUAAUGACUUCUUAGCUUAUGCCAAUUUAUCUGAUUGGAGUACCAAGGGACGUUAUGCUUGUCCUUGUUGUGCUGCGCAAACAUGUUCGCAAUGGUUAUAUAAUGGGAAGAAGUACUCUUACAUAGGACAUUGUCGGUGGUUACCGGGAAAUCAUAGAUUUAGAUUUUAGAGUACUCUGUUUGACGGUACUGAAAAGUUCAGAGAAGCUCCUUCGCAGACCGAUGGAUCUGAAAUCUUGUUCAUGUUGAAAGAUAUGAAUUUCAGUUAUGGGAAGAUGAAUCAACCACCCAACACGCAAAGAAAUAGAAGAUCAAGAGAUGAAUCUGAUGAUGAAGAGGAUGAAGAGGAUGAUCCUAAUGAGGCGGACUUGUGGAAAAAAAGAAGUAUUUUUUUGAGUUGCCUUAUUGGGAGCAUCACAUUUUACGACACAAUCUUGAUGUCAUGCACAUUAAGAAAAAUGUCUGCGAGAACAUCAUUGGGACAAUUUUGAAUGUCGAUGGAAAAUCGAAAGACAAUCUUCAGAGUCGACUUGAUUUAGUCCACAUGGGAAUUCGGCGUGAUCUUCAUCCCCAAGCACUUCCGAAUGGGAAAUAUCGGUUGUCGCCUUCUGUUUUUUCAAUGUCGAAGACGGAGAAAGAAGCGUUCUGCAUGGUGUUGAAGGAUAUAAAGGUCUCAGAUACGUAUGCAUUAAAUAUAUCUCGAUGUGUGAGUAUUAAAGAUCGAAGACUAUAUGCCUUAAAAUCACAUGACUAUCACAUCUUGAUGCAAGAUUUACUGCCAGUUGCUAUGCGGUGUUGUAUGUCGAAAAAGGUGACGUCUGGUAUAAUUGAACUAUCCAAUAUAAUGAAAGCCAUUUGUGGCAAAGUUUUGGAUGUUCAAGAACUUGAGACACUACAAGAUCGAGCCGCAUUGACUUUAUGCAAUUUGGAGAAGAUCUUCCCACCUUCUUUCUUCACUAUAAUGGUGCACUUGCUAAUCUAUCUCCCUCAUGAAACAAUACUUGGUGGACCCAUUUUCUAUCGAUGGAUGUAUCCCAUAGAAAUGUGUUAAUUUAUUUGUAAAUUAUUCAUUCAUUCACCUCUAUGCCUUUAGUUACAACUUUUGAUAAUGUUGUAUAUCGUAUUUAGGUUUCUAUCCAAAUUGAAGUCUUAUUGCCGCAAUAAGCGUUAUCCAGAAGACUCAAUUGCUGAAGGCUACUUGGCUGAGGAGUGUAUGACUUUCUGUUCUAGAUAUUUGGAAGAUGUUGAAACAAGAAUAAACAAACCAAGUAGAAAUGAUGGGCUCACUGAUCAUAACUUGGCCAAAACUUAUUUAUUUCAAAGUUAUAGAGAACUAAUCGGCAAAGUUGAAAUUUCAGAAUUAGAUGAUAGAUCGUGGCUACAAGUACAUCGAUAUGGUCUUUUUCACCAUGAUUCAAUGGAACCAUUACGCAAGUAAGUUCUAGAAUUUGAUAAAUAUUCAUCAAUUACAAUUUGUUUAUCUUCUAACAAAGUAAACAUCUUUUUAACAUAGUGAGUACAAACAAAUCUUGAGAUCUCAUCCACGCUCCCGAAGAUUACAACAUCGAGAGAUUAAUAAGUUAUUCACAAAAUCUUUUCAUGAAUGGUUAAGCCAAACAGUAUGCAAUUGAAGCUUUCAUUGACAAAUAAUAAUAUUUUCUCAUAACAUUUAUAAUUACUCAAUUUACCUUCGAUUCAAUAGGUUUGGAGUGGGAAUGACGUAAAUGACGAAGUUAAAUGGCUUUCUCAAGGUCCGAAUAGAGUAGUAAAAAGAUAUAGUGCCUUCCUCAUCAAUGGAUUCCGAUUUCAAGCAAAAUAUCGGGAGAGAUUGAGGAGAACUCAAAAUUGUGGAAUAGUUGUUAAUUCUUCUAUUACAAGUUAUGCUAGUGCAAGGGACAGUAAUCCUGUUGAGGGAAAUGUGGAGUAUUACGGACUUCUUACUGACAUUAUUGAGUUGGAUUACUAUGGCAAAUGGAAAGUUGUCUUAUUUCGAUGUGAUUGGGCUAACGUUAAUACUGCUCGUGGAAUUAAAUAAGAUCAAUUUGGUUUUACAAUGGUGAAUUUCUCUCGAUUGAUUCACAUUGGACAACAAUUGAUAAAUGAGUUGUAUGUAUUUUCUUCUUAAGUGAAACAAGUUUUUUACUCAAAAGAUCCAACUGAUAAGGGUUGGUACGUUGUACUCCGUAACAUCCCUAGAGACUUGUUUGACAUGGGCAAUGGAAGUAGAGAUGACAUCGACGAUAGAUCAGAAACUUUACCUUUUUCAGAACAAAACUUAAAUGAAAAUAUCCCUAGUACUAGUACACAAUUUCAAUGGGUUCGUCAAGAUGUUGAUGAAGAUAUUUACGAAUUAUGAUGUAGUAAGAUUUUACGAUUUUUUAAUUAUAUGUAAGAUUAUAAUUUAAAUAUUGGUCUUAUUAAAUAUUUCAACUAUUUUAUAUGUGUUGUUAUUGUUCUAAUUAGUUACUAAAAUUUCAACUAUUUUAUGUGUAUUGCAGAUAAAAUGCCUAGAAGAAGAUUGUGAGAUCUAAGUAUUGUUCAAAAUACUCCAAACUCGGAAGAAACAAAUAGUGAACAACUGACUGCUAUUGGAUCUUCGAAUGUUCCGAAUACACCUAACGAACUUGCAGAAUUUCAAAGUAUGUUUAAAUUUAAUUUACAUGCGUAAUGACUUUUAUUAUUGAUUUCUUUUUCAAAUUCUUAUAUUAUAAUAUAUCAUUUUUCAGCUGAAAGUGUGGGACGCGCAGUGGUCGAAGACAUACACUACUUAAAGAUUUAUACGAGUUAGAUCCUGUCGAGCGUGUCAAAGUAUGUAGAAACAGUUUUGGUCAGCCUGUUGGAUCAGAAGCUCGGCUUUUAGCAGAUAUUUGGGCAUUAUAGCACGAAAUGCCAAUAUGUUGCCUAUCAACUACGAGUCAUGGCAUCAAAUGUCAAUAUUAAGGUAACAAAACCUUAAUGUAAUUUAUAAUACUUUGGUUUAAGUUUCAUUUAUAUUACUUUCUAAACUUGUGUUUUUUGUAGGCGAUGUUUGCUUUAGAGGUCUCGGAUAAUUAUGUCAAGAAGGCAUUGGGAAAAAGGUGGAGAGACCAUAAAAUUACUUUAAAGAAAGAAAAUUUUUAAGACAAAAACAACCCUCGAAGAGAAAUUGCGAAAUGUCCCGCUGGGAAUGUUGAGGUACCAAUGGAAAGAUGCGGUUAGAUUUUGGAAUUCAAAGAAAUGAGAGGUAUUACGUACUUCCAAACUCUUAUAACUAUUUCGGUUUAUAGUAUUUACUAUAUACGUAAUAAUAAUUUCAUAAUGUGGGAUCGUGAACGAGUUGGAACAAGCAGCAGGCAAAAACAGAAAUUCACUCACAUAGCUGGGUCGAAAAGUUUUGUUUGUGUAGUUGAGGCCGAGAUUUUUUGAAUUUAUAAAUAGUGUAAAAUAUUUAUUACUUUCCAUUAAAUAAUAUUUUUACUACUAUAUUGUAGGAACUGUCGUCUGGUCAAAAAGUUAGACGCCUUCAACUUUUUGACAUUACAUAUGGGAAGAAAAAUGGAUCUCCUAUGACUUCUGAAGCUGCAGAAAUUAUGGUAUGUUUAGUUAAUAAAAUUUUAAUUAUUUUAAAUAUUUAUAGUGUUUAAUUAUAAUGGUUUAAUUCAUCGUUUGUAAUGCAAAUAAUGUUAAGUUAUGUUGCAUUUGUUUUUAUUAUAUAUUUCGUUUCUAACUCUUUGAUUAAUUUAUUAGAAGAAACUAAAGGAUAAAAAGGCAGAGUAUGAAGCGAUUACUUCGAGUGAUAGUUUUGUUAAUGCUCACGAAAUUGAUAAUCGGGUUAUUACUGAAGUUUUGGGUCCUGAAGGGUAUGGACAGGUUCGAUUUCAAGGAUCUUUUGUUAAUCCAACCCAAUAUUUUGGAUCCAGCUCGCAGCAAUACAUGCUUUCGGGGAGUCAAGCUCAAGUUGAAAUUCAGAGGUUAAGAGACCAGAUGACUCAGAUGCAAGCGAACACAGUUGAGCUAAUUACUCAACUUAAAGCGAAUGCAGCAUCGAGAGAAGCUGAGGUUCAAAGAAAAAAUGAAGAACUCAAGCUACAACUUAAAGAAGAGGUAGCAGCGAGGGAAGCAGAGCAGAGCAGAAAGUACGACGCACUCUAACUACAGCUUCAGAAUAUGAUGAAGAUGUUUCAGCAGUCGCAAAAUCUGCCAUCUUAGACUAUUGUAUGAAUAUUUUUAACAUUUUAGCUUUUAACAUUAUUGUAUUAUACUUCAUUUAUCAAUUUAUAUCAUAUAUCAUUCGUUGAAUUUGAAGUAUCAUUUAGGUUGCUGUUUUUGGUUGGUUUCUAUGUUACAGGAAGGGUUGCAUAUGGAUGAAAAUUGGAUGUUAGAAAUCUGCCAAAAUUAGUGGCGUUUUCAAUAAAAGCGCCGCUAAAGAAUAUGACAUUUAGCGUCGUUUUCUAUAAAAGCGCCGCUAAAGAACAUGACCUUUAGCGGCGUUUCUUAUAAAAGCCCCGCUAAAGAAUAUGACAUUUAGCGGCGUUUGCUAUAAAGGCGCCGCUAAAGAACAUGACCUUUAGCGGCGUUUGCUAUAAAAGCGGCGAUAAAGAACAUGACCUUUAGUGGCGCUUAUCUUUAAACGCCGUUAGAGGUUAUGAUCUUUAGUGGUGUUUGUGGUAAAAACGCCGCUAAAUAUCAUGUUCUUUAGCGGCAUUUAUGUGAGAAAAAAGUCACAAAAAAUAACGGCAUGGUCUAUAGCGGCAUUUUUUGCGGCUCUUGUGAAAGUGCCGCAAAUACUUUUAGCGGCGCUUAUAGGCCUAAAAAAUGCCGCUGAAAGCCUAUUUUGCUGUAUUGUUAGUUUGUUAAGUUUACUCUGGAUUAUACCAAUUUUUAAUUUAUUUAUACUUAUAAUUGUUUGAUUCUAUUUUAUGAUUACUCGAAUAAUUUUUAUUGUAAUAAUUUAAUAUUUAUAAUCACUCAAACAUAUAUUUAUAUUGUAGUUUAAAUACUUAAAAAAAUUUUCAAAUCAAAAUUUGCUACCCUCUUCCUUUUCCCACACAGAUAGGUAAUUCCUUUUCUAUUUUCUUUUUCUUUUUAUUAUAUUAAUACAUUCUAAAUAAACUAAAUAUUUUAUAUAUAUAUAAUACAAGCUCAAUUCAACAACUUAUAUUUACUGGUUUAGAUAAUAUAGUUGAUAAGUUUUAACCAAAACACCCAACUGAGAAAUUUUUGUCAAAAUAUGCCUUAAAUUUUCACAAAAAAUAAAUCAAAUAACGGGAGGAUGAAAAUGAAUUUAGGUUAGAAUAAAUUUAAAUAUAACCAACUCAUGAUUUAAGUAUUGUUGUAGGAAUUAGAUCGGAUCAACUGAUUGGUAUAUUGAUCCAAACAAAAAAAUUCAAUCUAUUUUUGAGCAAACACUUAGAAUCAAUUGAACUGGGGCAGAAAUCAAUUGUAUCGAUUUUAUAAUUUUUAAAGAAUUUUUUUUAUAUUUUUAUAAUUUUAUGACUUAAUAAUUUAUUUAAUUAAAACCAAAUCGACGAUGAAACCAAAAAUCGAUGUUGGUGUGGUUUUUAAAAUCAUAGAUUUAAGUACUUAUGACAUCAUGUUCUCAAAAACUCAAACCUUUAUCAACAUAUAGAAUCGAAUCGAAUAGCGUUUUCAUCUCCCAAGUUUCUAUACAUAAACUAUGAACACUGAAUUAAACAAUACAAAAAUGGUAUUCUUCUUCCACUGACAUUUGAUAUCGGCUUCAGAAAAGGCAAAAGACAAGAAUAAAGAGAUAAAACAAAAGAUUAAAUCAAUCCUAUAUCCUUGACUGACAUAAUUUACCUUAAAAACUCUAUAUUUUAACCAAUCCCACCUAUAUGAUUUUUCUGUUUUCCUAUACAUAAAUUAAAGCUUACUUGGAACCAAGUCAUUGUAUUGUAUUUCACGUAAUUGUUUGAAGCAGAUCCUCAUCUCCUCCAUCUGCAUUGAAGGAAUAGAUGUCGACCGGGGCCAUCGUGCAACCCAUGGCGUUCUGCUUGGUUCUUUUAUUACGGGAGGAGCCUCGGUGUUUGUCUAGAUAGAUUACAAUCACGGUGAUAUCGUCGUGAAAAUGGCGCCUUAUCCCCUUUUCGAUUUUCUUGAUGUCACUGUAUCUCAUCUCCCUUUUCUUUGCAACUUCUUGAAGUGCAGCUCUUACCAAUCUCUUGGCAAUACCCUGCAAGCAUUCAAGCAAACAAAUAUCAAUACCGAAAUGCGUUGCAUUUCCAUACGUUUCAUUAGGUUAAUGGAAGAACACGAAUACUCACGGCUCUCGGGUUUUUGAAAACGAUGUUUACAGCAGCUUCAUCACUCAACUGCUCCCAUAGGCCGUCUGAUGCAAAGAUGAGGAAUUGAUCCUGGGGCUUCAGCUUUCUAAUAAGGAUCGAGGGUUCUGCUGUAAUAACCGGCCUUUUAAGAGGAACGGGGUUUCCGAACUGCUGGAAGAUCGGAUCUCUAUAAAACUCAGGUUUCUUCAGGUAAACAUCACCUAUAGAUCUUGACACCUGAAAUAAGACGAACAAAAAUGGCUCAGACCAGCAUGACCACUCACAUGCUCAAAGAUCAUGUAUUAAUCAAUCAUCUCCAGUUCUACAAUCCAAUGUACGAUAAAAGCUAAUGCAUCUUAUUCUCUCGAUACUGAACGGAUCGAAGUAUAAAGCUCAACUUGCCUACUAAAGUAAAGGGGAACAACAUCACAAAAAGAGAAGAAAAACAUAAAAACGAGAGAGCAAUGAUUCCCUGCAGUUACAUAAGCCUAGCUUUAUGCUUCAGGGGCCUGCAUUUGUCCAUCUCAUGCAUACAACGCAUACUAUAUGGAAAAUAGCAGCAUGAAACAGUACUGGAAAUCAGACCAAAAUAUUCUUGGAAAAGUCGAAAAACUCAGAAUUAUAACCAUUUUUUAGAAUGAACUUUCAUUCUAAUGCACAAUGUAUACAUCCAUAAUUAUAUUAUACCUCUCCAUCAAGCAAAAAGAAACAAAUGGGUUGCAAGCAAUGCCUACGAAGAGGAAGUUAAUUGGCAACUAUUUCUAGAAUCAACACAUUGAUCAUUCCUCAAGCAGACUAGUUUUGAACUAAACGAUUAUAAAUCAACUUGUCAAUAAAAUUGUACCUGGAUUAUGCCCUUAAUCCUCCAAACUCCGUGGGUGUAAACCACUAUAUGUGAGUCAUCUGGAUGAAGUUCCUCGACCUCCUUUCGAACUUCCUCAACUCCAACAUUAUGAUCAGUUGACAACCUCUCUGCCACUACUGUGUUUUCCUUAUCCCCCGAAGCUUUCCUGCCAAGAACAGCUCUCGAGUCACCGAGAUUUGCCACGUAUAACACAUCAUUCGAAAUUGCACCAACUAGACAGCAUGAUCCAACCGAAGCAAUUUGAGGCCUCACAGGCAAUGAUCGCUUCACCAAACGCAAAAACUCCUCUUCAGUGGCAUUGAAUGCCUUCUUUAUCACAUCUGCAGAUAAUCCCCCUUGUUCUGUAGCAAAUUCUACAAUGAAUAAAGAAAAAAAAAUUAAGGGUCUCCAUCAAUCUUUUUUAGAAUCCAAGUGCAUGCUUAUCACUGAAAAGGAUGCAAAACAAAGAAAAAUAAAUGACCUGAAAAAUGCCAAAACUUGAACUACACUUACUAAUUAUUCUGAAAAAUUCAAGUCCAAACAACCCCAAGUAGAUACAAAUUUAGACAAAUAGUUCAUAUUCUCUUUUCCCAUCAAAACAGACAUAGUACUACAUGACUAUGGAGCGGGGCAAGAUAGAUAUUGUCAAAUUCAUUACUGUUCCAUUGUUGGCAUGAUCUGCCUCGACCCCACUCUGCUUCGCCGUAAAUGUUAAAACUUGAAUAUCAUUACUUUUAAUAUGCAUAAUCUAUCAAUACCUCACCUAAUAUAUACAUUUUUACUCGUUUUAAAAGCUAAAUAAAUAAGAAUAAGGCAAAUAUCAAAAUUAAGUGCCCCAUAGGUCCCUCUUUUACUGUUAAAAAUUAGAAAAAGAAAGUCUAUUUGGAGUCAUCAGUUCGAAAUCUAUCAAACUAAAUACAUAUUUGAUGAUUCCAUAGACAGCUUAUGAUUUUCCUGACAAGGUCGUAUCCAUAUACAUACAUGAUCACAUGUUCAUUCAUGUCAUACAUACAUACAUACAUACAUACAUACAUACAUACAUACAUACAUACAUACAGAAUAGAAUGGGAAAAAAGGAAUGUUGCAAUAAAGAGGGAAAAAGGGAAUUACUGUGGAGAAAAGGGAAGAGAUGUUUGUUAACAAAACGGGAAGCUUCGGGACCGCCAUGACCAUCGUAGACGCCAACGUAGGUAGCAAAAGGAGAGGCCAAGACUUGGCUUUGAUCUUCGAGGCAGUUGUUAGCCUGCACGACGGCGAUGGAGAAAUCACCGGAAGCGUGGGGUUUAAGGUCAGCGUGCCACAUGAGAGCAUCCCCACCAGCUCUAACGCCAAGACAACGUUCGAGCGGCCUGGAAAGGGAACGUAACAUCAUCAUCAUCGUGUUUAAAAAAUAAUAAUAAUCCCUUUAUAGGGAAUUUGAUUAAAUGAAAACCUCUUCGAUGGUUUCAAUGGGGGGUUUCACUUUGGGGGAAGAGGAAAAUGGGAAGAUAUUAAGAGGGAAAGAGAGAGUAGAAAGUGGGGUAAAGUGAAUGGAAAAGAAAUGCCGCGUAAAGAGAGGAAGAUGAUGAUGACCAACGACCCCCGAUACUUGCUGUAAUUACUUCCCACUCUACGCGUUAACUAAUACCCUUUUUCUUCUUUUUUGACUUUUAAACCCAAAUCCUUUUUUUAUUUUUAAUUUAUUGAACGGAGAAGGUUAGGUCUAAUUUAAUAUUUCAAUUUUUAAAGAAUCGGAUCGGUGGUUGAAUUAUUCUCGAUUUAAUCUGUUAAUUUAGUUUAACUUAGAUUUGUUCAGGUGGUUCGAUUUGAAGAUUUGUUCGAAAGAGGAGAGAAUUUGGAUAAAAAUAUAAGCUUAAAAAAUAAAUUUUAAUAAAAAAAAUAAGGUACAUUUUUUAAAUGGGUCUCAAUAGAUCCAAACAAGAUAUACAAAUUUCUAAUAGAUCAGAUAAAAUCGCAAAGCAAAUAAUCCCAAGAUUCAAUUAUUCAUUAACUACCCGUAUAUCUUAAGAUUAAGAAUUAAAUAUUUUUUUAGUAUUUUUUUUUUUUGCGAGGAGCUGGAUGAGAAGAAACUCUCAUGUCCAGUUCUGUAGUAGAGAUGGAAUUCAUAAACAACAACCAUCAACUAUAACCCCAAAAGAACUCGAUUUCGUAAACGAGUCUCAAUAUUUUUUUGUUCGGGCCCAACCUAACUUGGCUCGAAUUUACCAAAAAAAAUUGUUAUGCUUUGUCACUAUUUUGCUGUUAUUUCGCUAUUAUAUUGUUACUAUUUUAUUAUUUUUGUUUAGAUAUUAUAUAACUAUUUUUUUAUUAUUGAUUUUGUUACUAUUUUAAAGGCAUUUGCUUGCUAAGUUGCACGUAUCUUAGUGUUAGUUGAGUAUAAAUAUUUUUUAAAAUUUUAUUUUCAAUAUAAAUAUUUUUAAAAAUUUAUUUUCAAUUUAUUGGGAAACAUUUAUUUUAAUAUUUUUAGUCUAUUUAAUGUAUUAUAUUUUUUAGAUUUGUUUUUAUAUAAAAAUAAAAAUAUAAAAAAAUUAAUACAAGCAAGUCGGGUCAGGCAUGGGUUUUAGCGUUUUUAUCCAGGUCAAGCUUAAGUAAAAUUUUAGGCCAAUUUUUCGAGUCAGACUCAGGCCUAGAAAAUAGGCCUAAAAUUUUAUCUCGGUCCAGCUGACCCAUGGAUAGCUCUAGUUCAGCCCCUUUGUCUGAAUUGAUAUAUCAAUCGAUUUAUUGGUUCAACUAGUUCGAUUAGUUGAUUUGAUUUGAUUCAAAAACACUAAGGGUUAUUUCAAGUUUAACUUAAUUUGUAUUUGUGCCGUUAGUUUGAAUUGUUUUGAUUUUAAAUCAUUCAAAUUCGACACUUAAUUUUUUGAGUCAAAUCUUUUUGGGUCUAUUUCAAAUUAUAAUUUUAUAAAAAGAAAGUGAAUUGAAUAAUAUCAAUGUUAUUAAAUUGGGUCACAAUUAAUAGGCGUACUAGAAUCUAAUUACAAAUAUAUAUCCAUAAGACAAAACCAAAAAUAAAGGAUUAACAUCUGACAAAGGAUUGACAAUGCAUUGUCCACAAAGUUAUCCACAAAUUUAAUUAGACACAAAACAAGAUAAACACUUACUAAAUGUAUGUAUAUAUGAUUAAAAUAGAGGGGUAACGUGAAUUCCGUAAGUUAACCUAACGAUUAAGAUACUCAUCGUUUCAAGGGUGAUUUGGGAUUGAGUCGCGUUAAUCACACCCUUAAUAGGGAUUUGCCCUCUUCUAGAAAAUGGAGGACUAAAAGUUUGAAAUCUUAUUUAGUAUUUACAGCCAUGAUUAAUUCUCUUUAUGAUCUCCACCCAUACAAUAAAUGUGAAAGGGGUAGCAGUAUAAAUAACAUGUCUUUAUAGGGGGCCGCCAUUCAAGAAUAUCUUACUUCCUCUGAACCUGACAGUGAGGCAUGGAUAGCAACUUACCUAACACAUGUAUCAAAUUCAACACUAAAAUUAAACUCAUAUACCAAAUUGAAAUUUAAAAAGAAAAACUCAAAUACAAAAUUCGACAUUAAAAUCAAACGGAAGUACCGAAAAACAUUCAUAAACCUUUUCCUUUGUUUUUGCACCCGUCAAAAUUCCAAGACUUACAUAUCUCUAAUUAAGAGCAUCAUCAUUUACAAAAAUUAAAAAAUUAAUCCCUCUACUUUAACUUGUUAUAAUUUGACCCACGUAAGUUAUAACAAUCGAAAAGUUAAUCUAAUUAAGUAAUAUUGUUAAACCUUAUUAUUGGAUUGUUUAUUUGGAAACCAGUAAUUUAACAACUUAUAUGCAACAAAUUAACAAAACUCAUUUGUUCAAGUUCAUGUUUUGAAUAACACCUGGACUCACUUUCCAAUUUUCAUAAGCUACAAUGACUAAAUUUUGACAAAUUAAAGUAGAGGGACCAACUUCUCAAUUUUCAUAAAGUAAGGGAUGAAAAUCAUAAUUAGACCAUGUAUAUGUUCUAUCGCGUAAGUUGGGGAUUGUUUUAUAGUAUACUUCUACAGUAAGGACAGUCCCCACACGUUCUGAGCCAAGGAUCUAAGCAAGCAAAGUGAAACCUGUGCCCACACGGCAGCUGAGUAAGCACAUCUCCUUCUCCGAAGCUUUCAAGGCAUAUACUGCAAUCUCUUGAUUCCCUUGAUGUCUUUCUUUCAACAUUGACGUCUUGGCUGCCGAAAAUUUCCAGUGGCAAACGGUCCAGAGCUUCCUGAGUAAGUCCAGGAGGCUUCUUGUUUGUUUCUCGUAACAAUUCGAACCUUUCUGCUUCAGAGGUUAAUGGGGAACCCCUAGCUGCCAACCCUGUAGAGAGUUCACUUAUGAUCCUAAAAUCAUCGCCCGUUACAUGCUCCCGGUGGUAAGCAUUAGGUGGAGCUCUAUUGCUUCGCCUGAAGAAAACAACAGGAAGAAACCGUAAUGAGAAGGAAAAGAAAAGAUGUACAAAAUGUUUAAAUAGCGGUUAAUGCAAGACCUAACAUAUAUGUGUCCAUUAUUGAAUGCCACACCAAGUAAAAUUCAGGAUCGAGUGGUCCACAUGCUUCUCUCAAGCAGUAGAUGGUAGUUAGGAAACGAGUAACACUAAUUCGCUGUGUACAUGAAGUGGUAGCAAAAGUGGUCUGGCUAGUCAUAGUGGCUAAUGAUGUUACUACUUAGAACCUAUGUUACUCAGACUCGGGCAUGGGUUUCAGAUAUGGAUAUGUAUCCAAUACAGGUAUGAUUACUUUUUCUAAGUUUUUCCAUAUAUUUAGAAGAUCCUUGGAGGUCAUAUCCUCGUAUUUGUGUGUCGGACACGAGUGAAAUGAAGAGUCCAAGCAACAUAGCUUAGAACCACUAAUAUUACCAUAGAAUAGGAAGCACCAGCAGUGGGACUGGACCAUAUUGAUAGUUAGCAAUGCGAGAACAACAGGCACUAAUGGGCAGAAAGCACCAAUAACAGCAGUGGGCCUGGAAAUUAAGGUACUACUGGUAGGUAAGGAGUGACGAAAGCAAUAUCAGCUUGAAUGUAUUAGCAGAAAUGGGACAGAAAUUUCAAGCAUAAAAACAUAAAUUCAAUCUAUUCAAGAAUAUAUAAAUAUAUAGAGAGAGAGACUAAAUUCAACUUAAACGAUGAGACUAAAUUCAACUUAAACAUUUUCAAGGAAAAAAGAAAAAGCCUGCCAAAACAUGAUUAUGUUAGGCAAUUCCAUAGAAGAAAGUUCAAAUUCACUAGUGACAACCCACCCGACUGACCAGCUGAAAAGUCCAUGGUAAGUUAGAAAAUAGUUUGGACUGAGUGAAAUUAGUCUCAACAUUAACUGACUACAAUCCCUAACAGCUCUAUCAUAUGAUACAGUAUCUCUAUUCUUACGGCUAAACCAAGUCAGACUCCUAGUGCCCCUAAUACAAUACUACAUAUUUAUCAUUUGGAUUCACUAAUAAUAAGGUAGCACAAUGAACUGCAAGGCACUGAAUCUUCCUACAGGUUACGAUGCAAAUUGCUCAUAUGAUAGACACUUCUUUUGAUCAUAUUGCACCCUCAACAGAUCCACAAAAUCAAAGUUCAAGAGCAAAAUCAUUCUGAAUUUAGGUAAAACUUUCACAGACACAGAGUUCCACAUGAUUUGUCUAUCCUAUCAUCAAACUUCAGAAAUAAGUAAUAGAGAAGAGAUGUGCUGUGCUGUCUUUAAAAAAUGAAAUUUGUGACAGACCAAGAAUAGUGGGAUAAAUUUGGUCCAACUAGAGUAGCAAAACAAAUUGAGUGCCACAGGCAAGUUCACCAUCAAUGAUAAAAGUGGCUUCCAAUUGGUGUCAAAGAUCAUGCAGAUAAGAAAGAACAUGAUUCAAUAGCUAUUAUAUUUACUUGUUCUUGCAGUUUGACUAGUAAUAAUGCUGUACAUAAUACAUGGACAAGAAAUGCAAACACUAAGAGUGGCAAAUUUGCAGAGAGCACUAGGUAACCUGUUUGCAGAAACAGACACGCCUCUUAGUCUUUCAACAAGCCUUGCUCUUGCAAGCAGCACAGCUCCGGGAAGCCUUUCAUUUGCUCUCAAACUUUGCCUGCUUGAACUGCUAACACCAUCUGCAUUUAAUCCAUAGCUCGAACUGAGCUCGCCAGUACCUUCAUCAAACCCUUCUCUAGCAAGCCUCUCACUUGAUCUCAAACUUUGCCUUCUUGCAUUGCUUACACUGACUGCAUUUAACCCAUUGCUCGAUACAAGCUCGCUGGUACCUUCAUCAAACCGCACUGAUGAACGCUCCUGAAAAAGUAAUAUCCAAAUAUAAGCGAUUCAGGCGAGGAGAAAUAAAUUACGUAGACGAGGUAAUAAUAUCAAACUUCCUUGUUUAUUCUUGUAUAUGUGGCAAAAACUUACUGCAAGUGAGCUUAGGCUUUGCUUGGUACCAAAGACGGAAACAUGGAAAAUUUGUUCAUCAAAUGUUAAGAUUCAUAUCCACCUUAUUACUUUGUAACUUAACCAUCAGAUAAACAAUUUUCCAAUUCACUCCUUUCCAUCCUUCAUAACAAGCAGAGCCUUAGGGUUUAGAAAAUUGUCAAGAAAAUACCUAUUCUUCAGUAAUUUCACUGAUAAAUUUAGCUUAAAACUACUAAUUUUCGGAGCAAAGUUCAAUAUUGGAGCAUAAAACAGACAACGAAUAAAGUACCAAUAAAUUGGUUGAAAAUCCAAUUUUUAAAUUAAAAAUAAAUAAAUAAAAGUGCGGUUUAUUUUCCCUUCCAAAAAUAAUACUUAAUCCACCCCCAUUUUUCCUUUAAUUUCUCUUUUUUUUCUCAGCAAUAAAAUAAAAACAAAUACCUAACAAGAAAUAAAUAAUUUGAAAAAAAAAGGUAAAAGAGAAAUUGAGCGUACAGAGAGCGAGGAAGCACGGGAGCUGAAGUGGCGCACGUGGGGAGACCGGCGGAAGGAAUCACCGCCGUCCAAAUCAUGCCUCUGAUUGUGAUGACUGAGAUGAUUCCGGCGAUGGUAAUUCCGUUCAAUUGAGGACCCAAUCCCUAAAUCCGGAUCGGGUCGACCCACUCUUGACCUUCGUGUGUAGAAUAACUCCGAAGCGCUUGUCAUCCAACUAAAACCCCCAAAUGGUGUUUUGAUCUGAUCUUACCAAUUAAAAUUUAUUUUUAAUUUCUCCAAAAAAACAAUUAAAUAAACAUGAAAAUUGUAAUUUGGAUUAAGAAAUAAAGGAGAGAUGUUGAUGAGCCCUACGAAGAAACGCGGGAGAAAUUCCUGCGAAUGAAAAUCGAUAGCCUUAGCUUCAAAGAAAAUGAAUGGAAAGGGAUGUGUGUUUUUUAACCCUAAAUGGUUUAAUUCCGGUUUUAGUCCCCCUCCUAUGCUAAAAUUUAAAAUUUAAUCUAUAUAUUUUAAUUUUAUAUAAUUUCAUCCUUGAUUUUAAGAAAUAAUAUUUGAUACACCGCUAAUACAUUAUCAUCGAACAAUGACAUGAUACUUCAGGAAAAACAAAAUUAGUGAAAGACUUAUCAAUAAAUAUUAACAAUUUUAUUUAGUGUUUUGAUUUUUAAAUUUCACAUUUCGAAUUUUAGAUAUAUUUAAAUAAAAUUAUUAAUAUUUAUUUAUAAGUCAUUCAUCAUUUUUUAUUUCAUUAGCAUUGAAAUGUCGUGGUUGACGAAACUUAUACAUCAACGAUAUAUCAAAUAUUUAUUUUUAUUUUUAUUAAUUUCUAUCAUUAAAACGAUGAUGUGAAAUCUUUUAUUGAAAAUUUUGUUAUGGUCAAGGUAGCCAUAAUAUAUGUUUUUUUAAUACAAAUUCUCGAUAACAAUUAGUAAUAUUAAGAAUAUAAAAAAAGUAAAUCAUGUUAAAUUAAUCGGUUUAAGGGUAUAAAAGGUUCUCAAAUUUAAAAAAAAACAAUUAAGUCUCUGUUUUUUCACUCGAGUAUUUUAACUUUCAAAAAUGCAUAAAAAGACUCUCAAACUUUUUCAAAAAAAGCAAUUAAGCCCAUACUUUUUUUUACGCUCAAUUGGGCACUUGAACUUUCAAAAUACAUAAAAAAAAAAUGCCUUCAAACUUUUUCAAAGAAGCAAUUAAGCCCAUGCUCUCUCUUUUUUUUUUUUUUGCACUCAAUUGGUUGGGUAAUUGAAUUGUCAAAAUGCAUAAAAAAAUAACCUUUGAUCGUUAACUUUAAUAUUUGACCGUUAAAAUUAACUGUCUCUAAUUUUUUUCCGUUAAAGUCAUCCUUUGUCACAACCACGACAUGACAUGUGGAAAAACAAUUAUAAAAAAUAAAAGUUAUAAAAAAAUAUUAAAUUUUAAUAAAAAUAUAAAGUUUAUUAAAAAUUGUAAAAUUUUAUAAAAAUAAUAAAUAAUUAUAAAAUGUAUCAAAAAGGCCAUUUAACCAUCAAUUUUAACCGUUGACUGUUAAAGUUAACAAUCCCUAUUUUUUUUCUAAUUAAAGUCAUCACGUAUCACAACAUAGUGUAACAUGUGGUAAAAAAUGAUAAAAAAAUAAAGAUCAAUUAAAGUUAUAGAAAAAUUAUAAAAUGCUUCUUUAAAUAUUAUAAAAUGCUUCUUUUGAUACGAUAAUUUUUAUAUUUUUUAAUGAAUUUUUAUUUCUUUACAUUUUUUAUAAUUUUCUUACAAUUUUAUAAAAUUUUACCAUUUUUAUAAUUGUUUUUUAUUUUUAUAAUUUGUUAAUAAUUUUUAAUAUUUUUAUAUUUUUAUUAAAAAUUAAUAAUGUUUAUAACUUUUAUUGAUUUUUGUUUUUUAUCAUUGUUUUGCCACAUGUCACGCCAUGUUGUGCCACGGGAUGACUUUAACUGAAAAAAUUAGGGUCAGUUAACUUUAACGGUUUGACUAUUAAAGGUAACGAUCAAAUGGUAUUUUUUUUAUGCAUUUUAACAAUUCAAGUACCCAAUUGAGUAUAAAAAAAAGGUUUAAUUGCUUUUUUCUGAAAAGUUUGAGGGCUUUUUUGAUGUAUUUUGAAAGUUUAAAUACUCAAUUGAAUGCAAAAAAAAGCAGGGGUUUAAUUGCUUUUUUUUUAAGUUUGAGAGUUUUUUUGAUGCAUUUUGACAAUUCAAAUACCUAAUUGAGUGCAAAAAAAAAAGAGAGCAGGGGUUAAUUAAUUUUCUUGAAAAAGCUCGAAGACUUUUUACACCCUUAAGCCAUUAAUCAACCGACUGAGUGAUUGAAAUUUGAUGAUUUGGGAAAAUAUCCGGUGAACAUCAAUUAGAGAAAUUAAAUCUGAAUUUCAAUAUAUUAGAGGGACUAAACCCAGAAAUUUACCGUGAAAAAAAAAAGGUAUAUUUUUAUGUGUUAGUUGAAAGAGUAGCAUUUAGAUGUAACCACGCGUUAAACAAAGUGUUCCAUUACAUCAACGAUAGAAUUUCUUUUCCUUCAACAAGAUUUUUUUGCGUUGACUGUUGACCAUGGAAAAACGAUAAAUCAAAUUAUUUAUUGAAAGUGAUAUAUAUUCCUUCCAAGAGAAUUCCUUUCUUACUAUCGAGAGUUUGAUUUUCACCGUGGGUAUCGAGAGUUUUAUCUCUUAAUUAACCUACAGAAUGGAAUAAAUUUAAUUAUUGGGUUUACUCUGAUAGAUACCUUGAGAAAUAAAAUAAAAAAUCGAUAUUAAAUGAAAUAGACAUAAUAAAUUUCUAAGCUUUGGUGAAUAUAAAUAGAAAACUAAAUGAAUUUUGGUUUAGGUAAAUUUUGGAUUCAGAUUAAAUUUAAAUUUUGGUUAAUUCUUAUUCAAGUCAAUUAAGUUUAAUUGUAAUUUCAGGUUAUAAUCACUUUGAGUUUAAGACAUUUUAAGUUAUUUAUUGGGGUCAUGUCUAGUUAUUUAUUUGAAUUGUUUCAAGUUUGGAUUAAUUUGAGUCAAUUUCAUAUUUAGGUUAGAUAAGUCAAUUUUCAAGAUAUGAACUAGAGUUGUCUAUGAGCCAGGUCAUCUGGUCUGGCCUGAAGGCCCAUCCGAAAAAUGGAAGGAUUUUAACAAAAAAAUAUAUGUCAAAAAAUGAGCUUGGACAAAAAAUAAGGCUCGUUUAGAAAAUGGGUCGGACCUCGAGUAACGUUUUUUUUUACCCUGGCUUUACCCAGAUUUGCAAUUAAAAAAUUUGUUUUUUUGCUAAAAUUUCACUAUUAUGUUGUUUCAAUUUGUUGGGAAACAUUCAUUUUAAUAUUUUUAGCGUAUUAUAUUUUUAAAAUUUUUUAUAUAAAAAAUUAAUACGGCCAGGCCAUGCCCGGGUUUUAGCAUUUUUAUCUAGGUCGGGCCUGAGCAAAAUUUUAAGUUCAUUUUUUGGGCCAAUUUGAGCCCAAAAAUUUAUCAGAACCCGACCUAACUCGAUCCAUGGACAACUUUAUAAAUAACUAUUUAUAUAUAUAAAUAUAAAUAUAUAAAUUGUCCAUGAGCUAUUUACUAUUUAGAGUAUUUAAAUAUGUCGAUUGAGAUUUAAGUUCUUUUUAUUCUGAGAGGUAGAAUAGCAUAAUUCAGCUAACGUAUAAUGAUCAUAUACCUCUAAUGCAUUAUAUGUCUCAUUCUUCUAUCAUUUUAGGGAGUUGAUGAUUAUUCAUAGCUAUUAUAUUGAUAUCAAAAAAGAGUUCGACCCAAUAACCAAAUACUUUUGCCAGAUUGAUUUUGGAUUAGAUUAAUAUGUUUUUGGUCAAUUUGAAUUUUAAAAAAUUUCAAAUUAUUUCAAUUUCGAUUAGUUUUAACUUUGGAUCAAUUCGUAUUCAAUUCUAUUUUAGGCUCAGAAUUAAAUGAAUCGAGGUAUUAAAUUUAAUGAUUUGUACAUACAUUUUGUGUAAAUCAUUUAAAUGUAUAGUUUAUUAUUAACAAAGUAAAAUUUUAUUUAAAAUAUUUUAAAUACCACUCUAACACAAUUACAUAAUUCAUAGAUUAUAGAUUACACUAGCAUUGAUAGUUGCAGCUUCUAAUUCCAAAAUAUUUUAUUCAAAUUUCAUAAAAAAACCCCUUCCCCUGUCUCCAUGACUAAUUUUGUUUGAUCAUCACAUAUUUGCAUGGGAAUAGUGUUCAUCAUGAACCGAAGACUCCGGUUUAUCAACACCGUCGACGCUUCGAACCCAGUAACUUGAACUGAAAGAAGCCGCCCGGUCCGGAACGUCAUCCAUCACCCAUUCAUGGCCUUUGGGGAAAUAUAUCCCACUCUUUGGAUGUGGAACCCAACUCGAUGAACCUUUUAUAUCGUUGUUACUCUUGCACUUCUUAUUGAUCUCUCGAUCUGCGCCUGCAAUUUUGCUCAAUGGUCGCUCAACGCGUUUUGCUUCCCUACACCCGAAUAAAGUUUCCAAAAGUCAAAUAUGUUUAUUAAGUUCAUAAUGAUUUGCUUCUAAAAUUUGUAUUCUUGUAUGGUUUUUUUGGUAAAAAAUUUAAUUUUUGGCUUUUCUAAAUACAAAACAAAUUUCAAAUUUCAUUUUUAACUAAACAAAAACAUCUCAAAACUAUGACUCAAACUUUAAAACGAUCUCAAAUGUUCUAAUUGAAUCCUUAAACAUAGAGCAUACUUAAAACACGUCUUAAAUAUGCUCUGCAUCAAACAUAAACUAACAUUUAACACCCAGAUAGACAUGACAAAAAAAACUUAGUUGGUACGAUACUAAUAUUUUUAGGACCCAAUUAAACCGUUUUAAAAUUUAAGGACUAAUUUUUAAAAAAAUCAUUCUAUAGAUUAAGAAAGUCUGUUGUAAUCAACCCAAAGAAUAACGACAACAUUACGUACCUUAGCAUCAAAAUCUUGGUUUUGGUAAAAGCAGCUCUUCCCAUGCAAUGCAGCUCUUUGAAACCCCUCAAAUUGUAUAAUGCAGCUCUUCAAAGGACUCCAAUGCAAUUAUCUAGGAUUUGAUCGUUUGAUUUAUAUAAUGCUUUCGAAAGUGCAGUUUUUGUACUUUAAAUUGUAUCCGAACGAAUGAAUAAAGGUUUGAGGAAUAAGUUCGAUUGCGAAGGUCUUCUCAAAUUUAAAAAUUUAGAAUAUGCUAUUUCGUAAUUUCCUCUUUUUAUUUUUAUUUUAAAAAAUUUAAUCAUUUUAUAUUUUUCGGAUUUAAGUAUACAGGUCCAAUUAUUAUUAAAAGUGAUUUGAUUAAAAAAUUAAAAAAUAUUUCGAAUUUCGAGUUAAUCGAAUUGAGUUGUUCGAUUUUUUUGAAUCGACCCGAAUAAGUAAUUCGAUUUCGAGUCGAGUUAAAUUUUACAAUUCGAAUAACAGAUUAAUGUAAAUACUCAUUUGGUCCCUGUCAAUUUAAAAAAUGGACAAAUUUGUCUCUCUCAACAAAGUUUACAAAAAAAAAUUCAAAAUAAUUUUCAAAAAGUUUUAAAUAAUUUUUAAAAUUCAAAAUUUAUAUUUAAAAAAUUAUAAAAAUUCUAAAGAAUAUAUAAAAAAAACUUAUUCUUUUUAAAUAAUAAUUUUUGGGAAAAUUAACUAUUUAAGUUUAUCAUACUAAAAUAUCUUCUUUUUUUCUUAUUUUGCUUUGAAAAAGUUUUCAAAUUUAUGUGCUCUAACAUUGAAUUAGUUAUAUUGUAACAAUAUUUUAAUUUGACAUAUUUAAUUUUUUAAUUUCACUCGAUUCAAAAAAAUUUCUAAUUGAGUUAGUAUGACAAAAUGAGACUCGUCAACUCGAUUCACUCGAAACUUUUUCACUUCAUUCGAUCGAAUGCUCACUCCCAACUAACAUCAUAAAAAUUCGUUUGUUAAAUUUAGGUUCGUUACAAUAUUAAUUUUUUAUUAUAUGACUAUCAAACUGGAAAAUAAAGAGAUAAAUAU
rnacentral:lncRNA from 1 species